GCCCGUGGUUCCGGUGGAGGCGUGGAAUAGCUCGCCCCUGUAGAGGUGGAGCCACAGAUCCCAGUGCGGCAUCAUCCCUAGGAAGCCCUCACACACGGCGGCGAAGACCGCCGCCACGGUGAUGGCGUUCGGGGAGAAGUGCUGCAGCUCCACCCCGUAAUGGGAACAGAGGGCCCGCAUGAAGCGGCUUGGAGGCGCGCCCAGACCGUGGCGGUGGAACUUGGCGAACGACACCACGUAGCCUUCGGGUGGCUGAGGCGCCCUGUGGCUCGCUGGCGGCGCGAUCCACUCUGGCGACGACAGCGAGGUGCGGCGGCGCAGCAGCCCCUCCUUCUCAAGCUCUAACAGCCGGCGCUCCGUCAUCGACGACGGGCGCCAGUCAUCGGCGGCGACAAGUCUUACAGGCAUUUUGGCUAACGGGACGAUGGAUUCGCUACGGCUCGAGGGGGCGUGUGCGCGUGAGAUGGCGAGAAAGCAAAGGCAGCAAAGGAACAAGAGCGAGAAGGCGGAAGAAAGAGGAACGGCGGUGACGCGACGACAUACUUAUAGGCAGCUGUCCUCCAACGGACAGAUCCGAGAAGUAAGGUAACCCCCCCCCCCCAUAAAUGCGCCGCCUGACAGUUCUCUCUCUCACCCUCCUCACAGGCCGGACUCUCCGAAUUCCUCGCCGAUACGGUGUCGUAACGUCAUCCGCCUAAAAAGACGCGCCCAACGGGCAGAAAUGCGAACCGCCACGACCGUUCCCUUCCUUCGUAAGCCAAGGGACGUAACCGCAAAAGUCUCGAGAGGUCGAUGGCUGGCCCGCCGAAAGGGUUCGACAGCCGAUCUCGGGCGCUAGAGUCAGGGAUCCCUAGCGAGCGGUCGAAGAUCGAGGCCCGCCUCGAGGGCUCGCUGGUGAUGUUCAAGGUAGGGUCGAGACAGUCGAGAGGGAUCCCCCCGAAGGGAGGCAUCGAGCCGCUGGACUCUAUCGAAUGAGACCAGAAUCCCCCGACCACGUCGACCCUGCUUUAUGAGGACGCCUCCGGGCUACAGCUGACCCCCUCGAAAGGGGCACAGGUUCUCACUUGGACUACCCGCUAGGAACUCAAUUUGGGAUGAAAGACGCUCGCUCUAUCGAGAGUACGUCGAAACCCACGGGCGGAAACGAGCCAGUCAGAAUCUUCCACCACUGGUGUCGAAAGCGUUUCUGCGAAUUAGACAACAUAAUCCUCGAAGGAGUCAAAAACUCCUCCGAGGUCUCGGGGGCUACCCCGCGGGGUCGCUCGCGCGCCCCCACGAGAAUUCGACCGUAAAUCAAAACCUUCAUUCGAGCGCUAGCGCUCGAAUGAAGGCUCGGGGGCUACUGUCGAGGGUAUCGGUAAGGGGUACCCUCAGCGAUACGCAUUACGAGAUUGUCCGUACGCGGGUCGAGACCCCCAAUUCGACGCUCUAAUCUCGCGUAUGCGCCGCUAUCGACGGCCGCAACCUCGAAGACGGAAAUAGCGUCGAGCGAAUCGAUCAGGCGUCGAGCGUUAGUUACCGUUGAAUACGGAACAGCCUCGUGCGAACCGGAGGGCGUCGAGCGCGAGGACGCCACCCGCCGCCUGACACACGCACGCGGGCCGGAGCAUUAAGUAUGCCCGAUGCUUCCCCACCUAACGCACAGGUCACGGGAGGCGUGAUAGGGAACAGGCUUCCGUCCCAUCAACCUUUUUGCAGCUUUCCUACCGGACGACCCGGGGUGUGUCGGGACACAGGAAACCAGGAUGGAGCGCCUAACCGAGACAUCCUCGAGACACCCGAGGUCGGCGCUCCAGUACGUGGCGUCCGACCCUCGACCAAACAGGGUCCCUUCCCAGGGAUAAGUUGGACGUCGACUGACGACACAACAGCUACCCUGCCGAAUUCGCCGCCGUAUCGUACAGACAUGCGAUCCCAGAAACAGUGCAAGGCGGCACCCAGGGCAGAACGCAGGAGCACGCGUAAUCAUCACCGGGCUAUCAGGAUGGGACGGCUCGAGGCCAUGCUGCACAGGAACCUCGAAUAGGUCGGCGCUCCAUGCGGCUAACGACCCCUACUCUAAACGUCUACGCAUGUACCCUGUGUCUCUCCUUGGAGCUAUAAAAGGAGAGACUCAGGAAUAGAAGAGGGGAACAACACUAGGACACAAGGCCACACUCACACGCGUAGUAGAGCGACACAUUUCAUUCCACGCUUGUAUUCACCCCUGUACAAGCACUUAGGUGCAAGAUAAUACAAAUUCUCCCCCCCCCACUGGACGUAGGGCCUUCUCUUGCCUGAACCAGGAUAAAUCUCUGCGUUUUCUUGCAUCACCAUCCGGAAAAGGGGAGCACGCAUACAAAUUUACUCGUUGGUGUGACCCCCCGGGGGAUAAAACACCGACACGGCUCGACCCUCUCCUCGACGCCCUGAAGAAGCUUCGCCAGGAAGGUUUGACCGCCGCCCUCGUCCUCUCGGCCGUCCAUCAUCGGAGAGUUCUCCCUCUGAUGUCACGACCGCUGAGGAUGGACGAGAUGGGCCCUGGCGUCUCGUCUCGGGACCUCGAGGCAUGUCGGAUGUCCAGCGAGCCUCCGACGGACGAUGAAGUCGCGGCCCGAGUCAGGGCCGCAAUUGCCGGUGAUUUUAAGCCAGAGCACGUCAACGGCUUCCCCAUGCGACCCGACGCAGGCUCGAUCGAUCUGGUACGCUUUCUUCUUGCGCGCAUCCUCGAUUCUAGGUUUCCCCUCUCCCCUCUCUUUUUUUCUAAGUCUACCUUAGUUUUGGCAGGGUCGGAUUGAUGUCCGGUCCUCGAGGCCUCCAGUAAAGGAGGACGAGGUCGAUCGCGACAAACGAUGCCAAUCCGCCGAGAAGUUGAAGUCUGCCAAGGACUCCGCAAAAAAGGGGGAGAAGAAGAAGAAUCUCGACCGCCAAGCAUUAGAGGUGCGUCGAGCCAAAUCCAGGCAGAGGGGGGAGCCUGAGGAAGAAUCCCCCAACGACGACGAUGAUGACGACGAGAGUAGCGACGACUCCGAGGGGAUGGCGUCGCGUCUCGAUCGGAUCCUCGAGGGCCCGCCUCGAGAUGACGUCGACGCCCCCCGGACGGAGGCGCCGGAGGAGGGUCCGAGCGGGUCUCGUCGUCCCCGGCCCGACGCUCCUUCCGCGCUCAAGGCGGGCCAGGACGCACCGCGCCCUCCCCUGGCGCCCAAGGAGAGCGGUCCAGCUAGGUCCCAGGCGUCGGGGCCGCUGACCCGCGGUCGCGCUGCGGCCUCUGAGAAAGGAGACGCCGGUCGUAGGAGCGCGAGUCCCGGCGCCCGCCAAGCGGGAUCCGACGUACAUAGGCCAAUUUCUGCCCUCGAGGGGCCUAGCGCCCCGACGCGGGGUGGCUCGAGGCCCACUGGUCGGGGUGGCGGAAGGCGAGCCGUUCUGCCCGUGGGGUAAGCCCUUUUGUUAUUGCGGUCUUUGUCCCCUCAUUCUCUCGCCUUUCCUCACGUGCUGACUUUUUCUCAGGCUGAAACGGACCCUCGAGCAGGCCCAACCAUCGAUGGCCAAGAGGCUCAGAACGGGUGCCACCUCCACGGAACCAGGUUCGUAGUUAAUUCCUGGGUGUCGCGAUAUUAUUAUGUCGGUUAUCAUAACGUCUGACCCUUACCCUUUGUUUUGCAGGCCCGUCAAGCACCCAACCUUCAGCCGGCGUCGAGAUGGCUUCGCCUCGUCCCGCGCCUACUCCGCCGCCACCAACUCAUGAUGCGACCCCCCAGACGCGAGCGUCAGAGGGAGCCCCCGAGCCCCCUCGAUUGGGGGUCGGGGGGGAGCCCAUCACCAUCAGCGAUACGUCUGAUGGUAACGAAGCGUCUGGGGGCGUUCGACCCAUGGAGGAAGAGGCGUCGACUCCCAACGUCGCAGGACAGACUCCCUGGCCCGCAGGCCUUCGAGCCCUCGAGACGCAAAGGAAGAUGGUGGAGGAGGAGGCGCGGGAGCGCGAGGCGGCGCAGCCGUCACUGGAGCAGCAGCAGCAGCAAACUCUGCCGGAGGAGCAACUGCAGCGUCAGCAGGAGGAGCAACAGCAGCAGCUGGGGCAGCAACAGCAGCUGGGGGGUCAGGAGAACGAGCCGCUCGAGCCCCCGCCUCAAAUUUUGGCCGAACCGGCGCCGCUGGCGUCGCAAGAGCCCGGCAAUCAAGAGGGAGAUUUGCCGGCGUACGGGCCUCCUACCCCAGCGUGGCUCCUCCCGGGGGCACCUGCCGCGAUCCGGGCAGAGUCGGGGCGAGCGGACGGAGUGGUGGCGCUCGCCUGCAUGAUGCGCACCCCUACCGACCCCGAGUCCGAGAUCAAGGGGACACUCUACGGCAUGGACGGGAUCGCCCCAGGGUUCCUCCGGGAGCGUCGAGCGUGGGAGGAUCGUUUUCCCUCUGAGGAAGACGAGAUCGGAUCGUCUGGGAGCAAGGAUGGUACGUGGAAGACGGUGGACGACGACGGCCGGUUCCCUUGCCUCGCCGACCUGUUCUUGCGCCACGGGGGUUCCCUCGAGACCGUCGAGAACUUCCUCCGCGGCGUCAAGGUGCGGGCCGAUCGGGAGAUGGAGAACUGGUGCCCCGAUCGGAUUCGUAUCCGAGCUUCCAGCGACCCGUCCGAGCCCAAUAUCUUCCUCGAUGACAAGAAGGAAGUCGAGAAGUGGGAGCACGUCGAGGAGCUCCGCCUUUGGAUGAAACACGUGGUGGGGCUCCUAUCGGACGUCAUCAACAACGGGCUUGGGCCCGCUUAUUUUGUAAGUGUUUCUCGAGCUCCAAUCGUUGUUGUGCUUUUGGGUCUCCGCGUUCUAAUCCCCCUGGCCCCUGAUUCGCAGGAUAUGAAAGAGACCUCUCGCAUCAAGUCUAGCUUCAUACAUGCCACGAGGGGCGGAUGGGAGCAGCUUCCCCUCCUCAAGGAUCAACUCCUCGAGUCACAGGAAAAGCUGCUUAAAGCUUAUAAAGAUCUUAUAGCACUCGAGGAGGAGAAGAAGGUGAGGGAGGCUGCUUUGGCCGAGGCCCGAGAGGUCUCGAAGAAGGCGGAGGAGGAGGCGGUGCGGCUGCGGGAGCGGGCUCUUACGGUCGAGGAGGCCGCGUCCAGAGCCCGGGAGGAGGUCCUAUCCCACAAGGGCAUCAUUGCGGACCUGGAUAAGGAGAAGGGCCUUCUCCAGACCGACUUGGACUCCCUCCGCGAUACCUUCCAGAAGAUGAAGGUGGCGUUCGUGGACAGUGAGGUCGCCAGGGGUGCCGCCGAGGACGCAAAAAAGAAAGCCCUCGAAGGCCUCGAGAUGGAGCGAGCUCGAUCCCGCAGUCUCUCUGACGACGUCGAGCGUCUGAAGGGAGAACUGCUAGAGAAGAGUGGAGCCGUCGCUCAGGCUGGCAGGGUGAUCGAAGAUCUCCGCGUUGCCAAUACUGAGCUGACGCGCUCCAACAGAGAGAUCGAGCGUGCCAAUACCAGAUUGGUUGGCGAGAACACGGCUCUAGAGGAGAGCAUCAAAGGUAUGUUCCCUUUGUCGAAUUUCCUUUUCGAGGUGUGCUUGAGUUUUUUCUAAAGCUCCUUUGUAUUGGUAUUUGUAGGGCUCAAGGACGAACUCCUGGCCGCCCAAGCCGAGGCUCGCAACGCCAAGGCUCAACUCGAGGCUGAGGUUGCUUUGAACCGUCGAGUGCGGACGGCGAUAAGCGAUCUCUCGACCUCUUGGGAGGUCGAGCCUAUGGAUGAGUCGAGGGAGGACUCUCGAGGUGACGCACUGGUCGAUCAGCUGUGCUACUUAGGUGCGACGCUGCGAGAUCGGGUGCGGGAUGCCCUCCACAUCGGGGUGAAGCGGGCGAUGGCGGUUGUCUGCUCGGGCUUCUCCUACGACAUGGAGGUAGUAUCCCACGGCUUCGUCACCGACAUCUCUAAGACCGACGCGGAGAACGAAGAAAGGCUUCACACUUUGAUCGAUGACGCGGAGGCCCCUGGAGAGAGGCUGGCCAAGCUAUUUGAACCUGAGGUGCUUCCUCCUGAGACUGGCUCGGGCGGAGCUGAGGGUGGCGGGGAUCGUACCAUGGACUGAGGCCUGCGAGCCUGCUCGGGGUGCCUGGGGCCCCUUGUAUAAAACUUAGUUAAUCCUGUUUCUGAGCGAUACAGUACCUUUGUGGUUGUUAAAUGUUUGUUUGUCUUUCCACUCGAGGUUCUUUUAUUUCCUUUGCGCCUACGCGUGUGUUCCUUGUUCGAUUUUUCGUAAAACACAGCCUCGAUCGCCUCGAGGGUGAGGGAGUGAGUAGAGUUUCCAUAGCCCGGGGGCGUAGGUGUUCUCAGGCUCGCUAUCCUUCGGUCCUCGAGGGGCUCGAGGCGCCUCGACUACUCGAUCGUUCAAGGUUUACUAAGUAGGAAAUAGAGAAACUUUUUGGCUUUUUCGACGCUUGGGGAGGGGUCGUCCCUCUGGUAGCCCCCGAGGGGGUGCGGACUAUGAUGGGUCAUGGUCGGCAUCCCCUUUUAACGUCGAGACUAUAAUUCGUAACUAUUUUGGUACAGAAAGAAACUGCUCGAGGGAAAGACUUUAUUUAUUCAUGCAUUCAUUUACAAAGUCUUCGUACAAAAAGUAGGAUCGUAAAUCUAGGACUUCUAGGGGUAGAAUCGACGUAGCUGUUCGAUGUUCCAUGCGUUGGUGAAGACUGCCCCCUUUUCGUCCGCCAAUUUGUACGUUCCUGGCUUAAGGACCUCGGCCACCACAUACGGGCCUUCCCAAGGUGGGGUUAGCUUGUGGCGUCCUUGGUUGCUUUGCCGGCGUCGUAGGACAAGGUCGCCUACGUUGAGGUCCCUCUUGCGCACGUGCUUGUCGUGGUAGCGUCGGAGUCUCUGCUGAUAUCUAGCAGAGUUGAGGAGGGCCAUGUCUCGAGCUUCCUCGAGUUGGUCGACCGCGUUUUCUUGAGCUUCUUUGUUCGAUUGCUCAUUGUAAGCCUUGAGUCGAGGUGACCCAUACUCGAGGUCUGUGGGGAGGAUAGCCUCAGAGCCGUAGACCAUAAAGAACGGGGUGUAUUUGGUGGCCCUGCUCGGCGUUGUCCUUAGGCUCCAUAGGACCGAGGAAAGCUCCUCGACCCAUCUCUUGCCGAAUUUCUUCAAUCGAUUGUAGAUCCUUGGCUUGAGUCCUUGCAAAAUCAUGCCGUUGGCACGCUCGACCUGGCCGUUAGUUCGAGGGUGGGCUACUGCGGACCAAUUCACACGGAUGUGAUGCUGAUCACAGAAAUCCAAGAACUUCCUGCCAGUAAACUGGGUGCCGUUGUCGGUGAUGAUGACAUUGGGGAUCCCAAAUCGAUGGAUGAUGUCGGAGAAGAAGAGGACGGCCUGCUCGGAGCGGAUGUUAGUGAUGGGUCAAGCCUCGAUCCAUUUAGAGAACUUGUCAAUAGCCACCAGCAAAUGUGUAUACCCUCCUUUCGCCUUUUGUAGAGGUCCUACUAAGUCGAGCCCCCACACCGCAAACGGCCAGGUGAUGGGGAUCAUCUGAAGAGCAUGGGCGGGCAGGUGCGUCUGUUUGGCGUAGAAUUGGCACCCGUGACACGAGCGUACGAGCUCGACGGCAUCCGCCACGGCCGUUGGCCAGUAAAAGCCUUGCCGAAAAGCGUUUCCUACAAGGGUCCGUGGGGCGGCGUGGUGGCCACAAGCCCCCGAGUGCAGGUCGUCGAGGAGUUUUCGGCCUUCCUCUAUGGUGAUGCAACGCUGUAAGAUUCCCGUCGGGCUCCGUCGAUAUAGCUUGUUGUCUUCACCAUAGAUCACAUAUGAUUUGGCCCGUCGAGCGAUACGGCGAGCUUCUGUCCUAUCUUCUGGCAACUCACCGCGGAUAAGGCAGUCGAGGAACGGUGUGCGCCAAUCGAAUGGUCGACCCGGUCGUCAUUCUAUUUCCAUCACCUCUUCCUCCAUCAAGAGCGCAUCGACAGCAUUGAUUGGUUGGGCGAUGGUGGUAUCGGCGCCAGCCCCCGUGCCUAAGUCGACGGAUGGCUCGUGUAGAUCCUUUGAGAAUACAUCAGGCGGCACUGUGCCUCUGGUAGAUGCAAUCUUGGCGAGUUCGUCGGCUGCCUCGUUGUAGCGUCGAGCGACAUGGACGAGCUCGAGGCCGUGGAAUUUGUCUUCGAGUCGACGCACCUCCUUGCAGUAUGCUUCCAUUUUUGGGUCAUGGCAACUCGAGGCUUUCAUUACCUGGUCGAUGACGAGUUGGGAGUCGCCUCGGACGUCGAGGCGUCGGACUCCUAACUCAAUAGCGAUCUUGAGUCCGUUGACGAGGGCCUCAUAUUCUGCGACAUUGUUAGAUGCGGCGAAAUGAAUCCUGAUUAUGUACCUCAUGUGGUCGCCCAAGGGUGAGAUGAACAGUAGGCCGGCCCCGGCCCCAGUUUUCAUGAGUGACCCGUCGAAAUACAUUGUCCACAGCUCCGCCUGGACCUGAGUCGGGGGAAGCUGGGAGUCCGUCCAUUCUGCGACGAAGUCUACCAGGGCUUGUGAUUUGAUGGCCUUUCGAGGCGCAUAAGUGAGGGUCUCGCUCAUGAGCUCGACCGACCACUUCGCUAUCCUUCCCAUGGCCUCCUUGCUCUGGAUUAUUUCGCCCAAAGGGAAAGAAGAGACCACCGUGAUAGGAUGACCAAGGAAAUAAUGCUGUAAUUUACGGCGGGCAAGGAUUACGGCGUAGAUCAGCUUCUGGAUUUGGGGGUAACGCGCCUUGGUCUCCGAAAGCACCUCGCUGACGAAAUAGACCGGCCUUUGGACUGGCAGCGCGUGACCCUCUUCUUGUCUUUCGACCACCACCGCCGCGCUGACGACCUGGGUCGUCGACGCGACGUAGAGGAGCAGCGGUUCCGCAGGUUGAGGUGGAACCAGGACUGGUGCCGAAGUCAGCGUCUUUUUCAGCUUUUCAAGUGCUUCCUCGGCCUCGGGGGUCCAAGAAAAACGCUCGACCUUCUUCAGGAGUCGAUAUAAUGGUAAUGCCUUUUCUCCUAGUCUCGAGAAGAAACGGCUCAGAGCCGCCAGGCACCCCGUGACUCUUUGGACACCCUUGAUGUCUCGGAUUGGCCCCAUUUUCGUGAUGGCCGAGACUUUCUCGGGGUUGGCCUCGAUACCGCGCUGUGAAACAAUGUAUCCUAAGAGCAUGCCUCGAGGCACGCCAAAAACGCACUUCUCGGGAUUAAGCUUGAUCCGGCUGGUGCGUAAGCAGCUGAAAGCAACCUCGAGGUCCUGGAUCAGGUCUCCUCGUUGCUUUGACUUGACGACAAUGUCGUCGACGUAGGCCUCGACCGUUGAACCUAUAUGUUCGCCAAAUACGUGGAGCAUGCAACGUUGAUACGUGGCUCCCGCGUUUCGAAGCCCAAAUGGCAUGGUCACGUAGCAAUACAUCCCGAAAGGCGUGAUGAAAGAGGUCGCGAGCUGGUCGGACUCUUUCAUUUUUAUUUGGUGAUAACCAGAAUAAGCAUCAAGGAAAGAAAGGGUCUCACAUCCCGCGGUAGAAUCGACAAUUUGAUCAAUGCGUGGUAACGGAAAAGGAACUUUCGGACAUGCUUUAUUCAAACUAGUAUAAUCGACACACAUCCUCAUUUUCCCAUUCUUUUUCUUAACUAAUACAGGGUUCGCUAACCAGUCAGGAUGAUGAACCUCCUUGAUGAAUCCGGCCGUCAAAAGCUUUUGGACUUCCUCGCCAAUGAUCUUGCGCUUUUCCUCGUCGAAUCGGCGCAACCGCUGCUUCACUGGCUUGGAACCGGCUCGAAUCUCCAAGGAGUGCUCGGCGACUUCCCUCGGUAUGCCCGGCAUAUCCGAGGGACUCCAUGCAAACAUAUCAGCAUUCGCACGGAGAAAGUCGACGAGCACGGCUUCCUAUUUGGGGUCGAGGUCGGUGCUGAUUGUCAGCACCUUGCCGUCGGAGUUGUUGGGGUCGAGCGGGAUCUUCUUAGUACCUUCCACCGCCUCGAAGCUGCCCGCAUGACGUUUAGGUUCUGGAGCCUCAGCGGCCAUGGCUUCGAGCUUCGCAACGAGCUCGGUGGAGCUCUCGACCGCCUCCCCGUACUCGACGCACUCGACGUCGCACUCGUACGCGUGCUCGAAGGAAGAACUGAUGGUGAUGACGCCUUUGGGACCAGGCAUCUUCAGCUUCAAGUAUGUGUAGUUGGGUAUAGCCAUGAACUUGGCGUAGCCCGGGCGUCCGAUGAUGGCGUGGUACGUGCCUCGGAACCCAACCACCUCAAAGGUGAGGGUCUCCUUCCUGAAGUUGGCCGCCGUUCCGAAGCAGACCGGUAGGUCGAUUCGACCUACUGGCAGUGCUUUUUUCCCUGGUACGACGCCAUGGAAGCCGCCGGCGCUUGGCUGGAGGCGUUCUCUAUCGAUGCCGAGGAGAUCGAGGGUCUCGAGGUAGAUGAUGUUGAGGCUGCUGCCGCCGUCCAUCAGCACUUUCGAGAGUCGGGUGUUGACGAUGAUGGGGUCGACGACGAGCGGGUAGACGCCUGGGGCGACCACCUUGUCGGGGUGAUCUUCUCGGUCGAAGGUGAUGGGAGUGCUUGACCAGCUAAGAUACUGGGGCACCGCCAUCCUUGCUGCAAAGACUUCGCGACGCUCCCUCUUGCGUUGCCUCGUGGUCAACUGAGUCGAAGCCGUCGUCAUCUUUGUUGUCCUCCUUGCCACCAGCCUUCUCCUUCUUGGAGUCAUCACGCGCAUCUUUUUUGAGCCCCUGACCGUCGAAAUGCUUUCUCAGCAUGCGACAAUCCUUGAGUUUGUGGUUAGCGCCUCCCUUAUGGUAAGGGCACGGCUCCUCCAACAUCUUGUCGAAGAUGCCUCCCUCCGGAGGGCCUCGCGGCUUCUUUCGAUCCAUCGUGGCGACGAGGUCGUCACCCGAAUCUCCCUGGUGGAACUGCCGUACUUUCUGCUUCUUUUUAUUUUUCUUGAGACCUCGACUGGAAGUCCCUUCUUCAUCGACGGGCUGCUUGCCUUUUCUUCCUUCUGAGCUGAAGAAAGCGCCGACUGCCUCCUCCCCUGCCGCGUAGUUAGCUACCACGUCCAUCAGCUCGUCGACGGUCUGAGGUCGAUUGCGGCCUAAUUCCCGCACCAAGUCUCGACUGGUGGUGCCCGAGACAAACGCCAAGAUGACGUCGUGGUCGGGGAUGUGUGGCAACUCAGUGCGUUGCUUCGAGAAGCGUCGAGCGUACUCCCGAAGAGUCUCUCCUGUCUUCUGCUUGCAUUUGCUGAGGUCCCACGAGUUCCCUGGCCGUAUAUAGGUCCCUUUGAAGUUACCCUCGAAGACUCUGACCAGGUCAACCCAGUUGUGAAUCUGAUUGGCUGGGAGUUCCUCGAGCCAUCGACGGGCGGUGUCGGAGAGGAAAAGGGGUAGUUGUCUGAUGAUGGCUCGAUCAUCCCCCCGAGCGCCGCCUAGCUGACAAGCCAGCCUGAAAUCGGCCAGCCAUAGCUCUGGCUUGGUUUCUCCAUUGUACCUCGCGAUGCUGGUUGGGGGUCGGAACGGACUAGGCAGGGGCGUGCUGCGAAUCGCUCUGCUGAACACCCGCGGGCCUGGUGGCUCGGGGGCCACCCGGUCCUCGUCGCUGUCGUACCUCCCACCGCGAUGCGCGCUAUAGCCACGUUCUUCCGCGUCUCCGUGCCGUCGGCGUCUAUUUUCUUUGACGUCGUGUCGCGCGUCGUGUCGACGUUGAUUGUCGGCAGGGAGGAUGAGAGCGGUCUUUCUGCCUCGAGGGGGAGGUUGUUGCUGGACAGACACCUCCUCUUCGAUUAGAGGCUGUUCGUCGCGCUUCUCUGUGGCAGCUCCUCGUCGUCGAGAUGCCGAACUUUCGGCUUGUUGAACUGCUGCCACCUGGAGCAACGUCUGAACUUCAUCUCGAAUUCGUCGGGCCUGGCAAUUCGAUGGUUCUGGCAUGUUACGCAGCAGCAUCGUCGCUGCCACUACAUUCUGGCCUGCUCGAGGGAAACGGCCGACAGGUUGCUCCGCCUCCGUGUCACCGACGAUCUGUCGAUGUACCUCUCGAGCGCGUCUGCGGACACUUCCGCCUGGCGGGUAGGGCAGGUCUUGUUCGAGGAUUUGCUCGAGCAGGACGAGGCGCUCGCGAUCUUCGUCGAGCUUCAUCUUGAGCUCCCGCAGCUGCGCGAGCUGCGCAGUUCUAUCUUCCUGAGGAAGAGGGUCGAACCGUCCGUCGUUCCCAGGCGUCCUGGGGUCUUCUUGCGCCGCGGGGGCUCGUCCACCCGCAACAGCAUCCCGUGUCUUGUCGGUGGUUUCUGCCGCUCCGUCGAGGUGAUAGCAUUCCCUCGUAGGGUCAUAACUGUCUGUCUCGGAGUCGGAGUCCGGCUCGGUAGCGUGGAAACAUUCACGUCCUUCCUCCAGCCAUCGUUGCCUGAGGGAGGUGAUCGAGUAUCGUCCGGGGCCUAGACGGCGGAGGCCCCGUACUUGGGAAAGGUCCGGCAGUUCGGACGUCGGCCGCCGCUCUUCGGAACUACGUGGGAUGACCAUUGGUCUUUCCACGUAUGUCUGAGCGUUUGGGCAUAUCGUCUUGGCGAGCGAUGCCGCGGCGUUGUCCAAUCCGAACGGCAGUGCCGCCCUUGGAGAGAACAACCCGCGUGGAGGUAGCCUAGCUGCGGUGGGGGAGGGUGCGCGAGACGCGUCUCCCCCCGUCGUCGCGUGGUGCUGAGUCGUCGCGCUUGUUGCUCGGUCAGACGGUGUUGCCGACCCGUGGCCCGCAUCCUGCCUUGCACGAGUUGUUGGUCGUGCCGAAGCAAGGGGGCCACGGUGGUGCUGCCCGCGCCUCUUCUUAGGCGGAGAGGCGUGGUGGUGAGGGCGUCUUGGAGCCUUCGACUGUGCUGGCGUAACGCGGACUCCUCCUGGUCCUUUGACCGAGAGCAAGAUCAUGUCGUAGCCGAAGCCCGUAGACAUGAACUCGAGACUCCCAAACCAAAUCACCGUGGAGUGCGGGAGCGGCGAGGCAGGAGUAGCCAUCCGGAAAGUGGUGGGAAAUCGGUAAAAAACACGCAGGACCCCUACCUGGCGCGCCAACUGUCGGUGUUUUUUUCCCGGGGGGGUCACACCAACGAGUAAAUUUGUAUGCGUGCUCCCCUUUCCGGACGGUGAUGCAAGAAGACACAGAAAUUUAUCCUGGUUCGGGCAAGAGAAGGCCCUACGUCCAGCGGGGGGAGAGAGUUUGUAUUAUCUUGCACCUAAGUGCUUGUACAGGGGCGAAUACAAGCGUGGAAUGAAAUGUGUCGCUCUACUACGUGUGUGUGUGUGUUCUUGCGUUGUGAUGUCCCCCUCUUCUAUUCCUGAGUCCCUCCUUUUAUAGCUCCAAGGAGAGACAAAGGGUACAUGCAUAGAUAUUAGAGUAGGGAUCGAUAGCCGCAUGGAGCGCUGACCUACUCGAGGCUUCCGUACGGCAUGGCCUCGAGCCGUCCCAUCCUGAUAGCUUGGUGAUGAUUACGCAUGCUCCCGCGUGCUACCCUGCCAGCCGCCUUGUGCUGGUUCUGAGGUCGCACGCUCGUAUGGUAUGGUGGCGGAUCCGGCGGAGCAGCUGUGGUGUUGUCAGUCGACGCCCGACUUGUCCCCGGGAAGGGACCUCGUUCGGUCGAGGGUCGGGCGCCGCGUAAUAGGCUGAUAUCCGGAGCGCUGACCUUGGGUGUCUCGAGGGGGUCCCGAUUAGACGUUCCAUCCUCGUUUCCUGCGUCCUGACACACCCUGGGUCGUUCGGUGGGAAGGCUGCAAAAAGAACGAUGGGACAGAAGCUUGUUCCCUAUCACGCCUUCCGUGACCCGUGUGUUAGGUGGGAAACGUCAGAUGCAUUUAAUGCUCCCGCCCGCGUGCGCGCGUCAGGCGGCGGACAGUGUCCUAACGCUCGACGUCUCUCGAUUCGCUCGAGCCCGCUUCCGUCUUCGACGGUAGUCGUUGCUCGAGCCCUGACCGAUUCGCUCGACGCUAUUUCCGUAUUCGAGGCUGCGACCGUCGAUGGCGGCGCGUAAGUAAGAUUAAAGCGUCGAAUUGGGGGUCCCAACCUUCGUACGGGCAAUCUCAUAAUGCGCAUCGCUGAGGGUACCCCUUACCGAUACCCUCGACAAAAGGCCCACAUGUCGGGUUUACAUAGAGAUAUUAACGUGCCGCGCAAUUAUCCUACAUCUAGAAGAGUCCAAAAGCCACGAGAACGAACGGGAGACCGGACGGGCUCGGGGGUAGGGCGCCCGCCCUGGCCUCGGGGCCAAUCAGAGCCAACUUCGCGGAUCAUGCUCCACCGACCUAAAGGAUCAAGAAAAACCGUGUGAUUAAUGUCGGUUUGAUCCGACGGCCCACAUUCACUUGGAAGGACUAUAUAAGCAGACCCCCUGGCCCCUGGAGGAGAGGACCUCAGACCCCUAAUUCAUUAUUCAUCUUGGGAGAAGAAGCCUCUGAUCAAGCCCUAGAGCCACCACAUCAAUUAGAUCUCUAGAUUAGCAUAGCUACAUAGGAUUAGAACUAGAAGGAGUCAAUCUUCCAUUGGUUUCCGGAUCUGUCAAGAGGAUUCUUGGUAAUUCCUCUACUGUUCUUCAAUUGUUCAUCUUUGUUCUUCAAUAUUGUGAAUAUGACUUUGUUCUACUUCAAUAUGUUGAUUAUGACUUUGCUCUACUUGUUUAUAUUCGCAAUUAUAUUGUUCUUAGUUUGUCAUAGUUAUAUACUUGGCUUAGUUAGAUUGGAAUUAUAUACAUGUUUAGGAUCGUAUAGCAUUUAUCCAUGUGUACAGUGGGUAAAUGAUAAGUAUUGUGUAGGCGUGGUGCGUAUACCGUAUUUAUCUAUGAUUGUACCCUAUAUGCCAUAUCGCGGGGUAGUUCAUGGUAGUGACUGCUCCAUUGAUUCUUAUAUAGUCCCCCUCUCGUGUAUAGGGCUGGUAGAGCAACAUUAUUACAGGGGAGUGAUUGCGAUGUUUCUCAUAUUCCUUGAUAAUAUCACUAUGCAUGGGCGUAGUCCUGUCUUGCAAUGAUUGCCAAGUAUAAUUGCACUAACUAUGAUAAGCUAGACUGUAUAGUUGAGAAUAACUUAGGAAAUAUUCUUGUAGUUCAUCCUAAUUCCAUGCUAAUGACUUGCUAGAAUAUCUAAUUGAGGUGCUUAUCAUAUUUAUAUGUGGCUAAGUUAUGCUGAUCAGAUUAAUUAUCUUUGUCACCAUUCAUACUUUAUAUAUCUUUUAUGUGACAUUUAUUCCUGUAUGAAAGAGAUAGAUAAAUGCUCUCAAUUAUACAUGUAAUGAUAGAUACUCAAUUCUAUAUUCUAUUCUAUAAUCAACAUUGAUGUUUAGCAAUCCCUUCCCAGUGGUAAAAAUAUAAAUAACGAUACCUGAAAUACUUCCUGGUUAAAAUGCUACAUCGGUAUUAAUCUGUGCGCUUGCAGAUCUCAUUUAUUAUUUAUUUAGAAGAGCAAUUGCAUAUUUCAAUACCGCGUCUCUCAUGUCAUGCUGGGGAUGACAACUUGGCUUAAGUGGUAUGAGGGAUAGGUUUGGCAUUUUUGGCGCCGUUAUCAGAAUUAGAAAACUAAGUCUACUUUUGGUAGUGACAUUAAGAAUGCCCAACAACCGCAAGGCUUCAAGAAGAUAUUAUACCAAAUAGGAUACAUUACUUGUAACUCUGUUCCUUCUCAGUAUAUAAGGAGGGGUAGGGGGUCCCCUAGAGGACAACUCAACUCAAUAGAUCACAAUUCAUCUCAUAUCAUCAAUACAAUGAGAUGUAUGACGUAGGUAUUACACCCUCAUGGUGGCCAAACCUAGAUAAAAUCCUUGUUUGUGUCUUGCGUCACCAUCUAGUUCGUAGCUUGCACACCUGUCUGUCAACAAUCUACUACCUUAGACAUACCCCUAGGUAGACUGUCGACCAUAUUUCAUCAACAAAUAGUAGACGUUUGAAUGAGAGUCUUUGAUUACUUUUGUCUUGACUUGCAAACUUGCUCUAAGAUUUGAUGACCGUUGAGGGCUGUUCGAGAGUCAACCCCGAGGACACGGUGGUGACCCGGUUUCUAGUGGAGUCUGGCAAUGCUAUGAUGACGACAAAGCAGAUCGUGAUGUCGGCGUCGAGUUCCAACACGUGGGUUUCGAUCUCCGACGAUAAUUUCCUUGUGGAAUAGUCGAAAUGGAGGAAGGAUCUUUGGGACUAGCUGCAAUAUUGCUGAUAUUGAGCGACACAUUUACUACUCAAUAAGUGUGACAUUGAAACAAUUAAUAAGAGAACCCUAUCCACCAUCCCUAUUCUUUCUCACCUUCAUACGCCAAUAAGAUUCUGCGCAUAGGCAUGGCGACGAUAGGUGCAGGUAGGGGCAACGACAACUCUGGAGGUGCUUCUAGCAGGAGAGGUUUUUGAGGUGGUCAUGGUGGAGGACGCUCAGGAGGAGGAGGAAUAGGUGUUGUGCGCGGUAGUCGUAUGUCAAGGUUACGGUGCUGGGUACGACUACAAUCGCUGUAAUUAAUGAAGAUGGAGCGCACUUCUCUAGACAAUCUCAGGGUCCACCCGCCAAAUUAUGGUACUGGAGGGGAGUUUGAGUGGGGAAGAAGAGGUAGAUACGGAGGUUUUGGAUGACGUCGAGGAAAUGGAUGGGUAUUGUCAAGUUCGCAAUUUCCAACGACCACGGAUGCAACGGGUGGUAACCGUAGCAUCUUGUGCCGCAGCAGCAUCAGCCUCAGGCGGCACCGUAGCAGCUUCUGUCGCAACAGGAGGGCAACCCGGAGGUGGAGGUCCAGCAGGUCGGACUUGAGGAGCCCGAAGAAGAAGUUGAGUGCCCGAACCACGAGCCAGCCUCGUUCAUGAAAGGCAAGCCCCGGAGCAUUCUAAGCCUCCCUUUAUUUUCGAAAGUUUACUUGAAUAUGUUAUAUCUAUUGAUGCAUUAAGUAUAGGAGUUGUGAUGAAACCUUUGCUGCACUUUACUCAAUCCUUGUCCAGAUAUCUUACCACUACCUGGUUAUAGAGUUAGGAUUGAGUAGCAGCUUAGCCAUGCUUUAAUCGGUAGAAGUCGGGUGAUAUCCUGUCACCUGCGCAAUAUAGGGUUAUGUCGGACCACGAUGGUCUAUAUGUGCUAUCGUGGAUGGAACCUGAUUAAAUUGACUUAAGCCAGGCGGAGUUUUGCAAGGUUGUAGUAACUCCAUCUGUGGUAGCUAAGGACCGACCGUUGUACGUCCUCUUGUCAUGUUGAACGCAUGCCUGACACUUAGUUGGCCACAUAACUCUUUCCGACCGCGAAGCCGAGUAGUAUGACUCAGGCCGGAAGACCGGCAAGUAUAAAGUGCGCACAACCGGAGGAAGUGCGGUGUGCGGGGGACCAUUGGCAUAAGCCCAAAGGCAAGUGAGUUAAAAUUCCUGACCUCCCUGGCAGAGUGGUAGCCCUGGGAGUGCGGCGCUGAUCGGAGCCGCGAUUCCUGAGUCGUACCAAAGGUGACCCGUUGGCUCUCCGACGGGAGAUGCUUGGGUGAGUGCUAGGAAUAACCCUCCAGCUGGAUAGGAAUUCGAUUCGAAUCGCCGUCUCUCCCGGUUAGUGAGAACUUGACAGAGCAGCGGCAAACGUAGCAUUCACUAAAGAACUUUGGUUCAUGAUAAUGAUGAUAGCAAGGAAGAACAUAUGAUGAAUUUGCUAUGGUUAUUAUUGCUUGUAAUAAUCAAGUGAAGUGUUUUAGUACAGGUGCUAAUCUAGUGGUAGGCUGAUGAUGAUUAAUAUGAUGCUCUCACAACAUUGUAGUUAUAAUUUAAGCUUUUGGCAAAUAUUGAGUCAACCAGCUCUACUUGAUAUUAGCCUUGCAUGAUCCUUGGUGUCUUUUAUAUUUUACUAGACGGGUAAGUCUAGCUAAGUACAAUCUCGUACUCAGGGUUUAUUCCCACCUAUUGCAGAUGAUAUCUUUUAUGAUGGCUUUUGCAAGACCUGUCUCCAUCCCGCUGGAGAUGAGGACUAAACUGUUGGGCACGGUUCUCUAACAAUCUCGUACCUGCUGCUUUUGGAUGGAUGGUGUAUGACUCUAGCUAUAACAAGACUUGUGAAAUGAACUUUGGAAAGUGUGUGUAAUUAUUUUGCUUCCGCUACUUCGAACUUGUGUUGUAAUAUCUAAGUAACUCCGAUGUGGUGCCGCUUCGACGGCAAUGAAUGACUAUGUAACAUCCGUUGUGUUGUGUUGAACUAUUACGAUCUUGGUUUGUUGCAAGUUGGUUUGAAGUCCUUCGUGAUUUCAGUUGACUACCGGGAUUAUAUGGGCUCAAGUUUGGAAACUUGAUUGCUUGUCGAUCUUUCUACACUUGAACUCUUAUAAUUUGGUCGGUUCUGUGACAACUGACGUCAGGGGUCUAUUUAUAUAGGGGUCAAAAAGUGCCUCUAGGGUUUGUUCGGGUUACUCCCGCCGCCGUGCGUGCGAAACUUUCCAUCUGUAGGAUUAUUUGGUUUACCAUAAAUGUGUUUAUCGCGACGGGGGAAAUCAGGACCGAGAGGGGACAGGGGCUGGGCGCCCGCCCUCUUCAUCAGGGUGCCCGCCCUGUACCUAGCUCCUCUGUGGGCCUGCUUCCUCGAGCGUGCUUCUAGAUGCAAAACUUAUUAGGAAAAUAUAUACAUGGCCCUAAAACGUCAGAUUAAAAAGGUUGGGCUCUAAAUCUCCAUGGGAAGGUAGAAAUGGAUUAUGUCUAUUUCUUCUAAUUCAUUAUUGGGCUCUAAAAAUAAUUUAAGACGUUGACCAUUUACCUUGAAUAACGUACCUUCGUCAUUUUGAAAUGUGAUAGCUCCGUGGGAUGAUGAAUUGAUUACCUUGAAUGGUCCUUCCCAUUUACUCCAGAGUUUUCCAUGCCCAAAAAGCUUCACCCUGGAAUUAAAAAGUAAUACCUUAUCUUUAGGUGCGAACUCCUUCUUGAUCCUCUUGUCAUGCCACCUUUUGACUCUUUCUUUGUAGAUCUUCGAAUUGUGAUAUGCUUUCUCUCGCCAUUCUUCCAAUUCUGAUAGUUUCAUUCUUCUAUGGUCUCCAGCGAUAUCUAGGUCCAUAUUCCAUCUCCUUAUGGCCCAGUGUGCUUUGAAUUCUAGUUCAACAGGUAGGUGGCAAGUCUUCCCAUACACCAAUUGGUAUGGGGACAUUCCAAUUUGGGUCUUGUAUGCUGUCCGGUAUGCCCAGAGUGCAUCAGGUAACUUGUCUUUCCAUGUUGUUCCCAUUUCAUUGACUGUCUUCUGAAGAAUAUUCUUGAUUUGCUUGUUGGAAGUCUCUGCUUGGCCACUUGUCUGAGGAUGAUAGGGGGUAGCGACGUUGUGACGGAUUCCAUGUUUUGAUAGAUAUUGCUUGAAGCGUUUGUCGAUGAAGUGUGCUCCUCCAUCACUUAUCACUACUCUGGGAACUCCAAAUCUUGGAAAUAUAAUUUCUUCAAACAUCCUCUUUGAACUGAUGUUGUCGGCAUGCUUGCAAGGUAAUGCCUCUACCCACUUGGAGACGUAGUCAACUGCCACCAAGAUGAACUCACACUUCCUUGAUGGGGGAAAUGGACCCAUGUAAUAUAUUCCCCAGACAUCAAAGAGCUCAAUCUUAAGGUUGUUGGUGAGUGGCAUGGCAUCUCUUGUGUUUAUGUUUCCAUGCCUUUGACAUGUCCCACAUCUUCUGAUAUAUUGCUUCAUGUCUUCAUACAUUGUAGGCCAGUAGAAUCCACACUGCCAUAUCUUUGAAUGUGUACGGAAUGCUCCAUAAUGACCUCCAUAUGGUGAUGAAUGACAUUUGUUGAUGAUCUUCCAUCCUUCCUCAGUGGUCACACACCUCCUGAGUAAGCCAUCAGAGCAUACUCGGAAGAGGUAUGGCUCAUCCCAUAUAUGUGAACGACUUUCUUGAAUAAGCUUCUUCUUGUUUGCUCCUAGUGGUUAAUACCCUGAAACCAUAGAAUUAACAAUAUCUGCAUACCAGGGGUCAGACCUGUUAAUCCCGUAGAGCAUGUUGUCCCGGAGUGAAUCAUUGAUGGGGGUUUCCUCUGUACUCUUAAAAUACAUUCUAGACAAGUGAUCAGCAAUAGAAUUUUCUAUUCCCUUUUUAUCUUUUAUUUCUAAGUCAAAUUCUUGAAGUAAUAAGAUCCAUCUAAUCAGGCGAGGUUUAGCAUCUUUUUUAGUGAGCAGAUAUUUUAGUGCAGCAUGAUCAGUGUAAACAAUUAUUUUAGCUCCAACUAAAUAAGAUCUAAAUUUAUCAAUGGCAAAAACAAUAGCCAGAAGCUCUUUUUCAGUGGUUGCAUAAUUAAGUUGAGCUCCUGUCAAAGUUUUACUGGCAUAAGCAAUUGCAUGAUGCUUCUUAUUUUUAGUUUGUCCCAAAACUGCCCCCACAGCAUAAUCACUAGCAUCACACAUGAUUUCAAAAGGCAACGACCAAUCAGGGGGUUGAAUGAUUGGUGCAGAGAUGAGUGCAUUCUUUAAUACAUUGAAAGAUGUUAGGCAUGCAUCAUCAAAUUCGAAAGGAGCAUCCUUGGCUAGCAAAAGAGUAAGUGGUGUAGCAAUGAAUAAAAAAUCUUUUAUGAAUCUGCGAUAAAAACCAGCAUGGCCAAGAAAGCUUCGAAUUCCUUUUAUAUCAACAGGUGGAGGUAGUUGUUCAAUUACUUCAAUUUUAGCUCUGUCUACCUCAAUACCUCUUUCAGACACUAGGUGUCCCAGCACUAUUCCUUCCCUAACCAUAAAAUGACAUUUUUCCCAAUUAAGGACUAAGUGCUUUUCUUCACAUCUUUGCAAAACGUUGUCUAAGUUUUGAAGACAACUAUCAAAAGUUUUUCCAUAAACAGAGAAAUCAUCCAUGAAAACUUCCAUAAUCUCUUCAAUCAUAUCAGAAAAUAUAGACAUCAUGCAUCUUUGAAAAGAAGCUGGUGCAUUACAUAACCCAAAAGACAUUCUACGGUAAGCAUAAGUUCCGUAUGGGCAUGUAAAAGUGGUUUUGCUUUGAUCAUCGGGAUGGAUCGGGAUCUGGUGAUACCCUAAAUAUCCAUCUAAGAAACAGAAGAACGAAUGGUUCGCUAAUCGCUCUAGCAUCUCAUCUAUGAAAGGUAAAGGAAAAUGAUCCUUUCUCGUGGCUUUGUUCAGUCUUCUAUAGUCUAUGCACAUCCUCCAUCCUAUGACGGGGCGUUGCGGAAUUAGCUCGUUCUUUUUAUUCAUAAUGGCAGUCAUGCCUCCCUUUUUAGGCACAACUUGAACUGGGCUUACCCACUCACUGUGCAGCACAGGAUAUAUAAUCCCUGCAUGCAGCAACUUUAUAACUUCCUUUUUAACUACCUCUCUCAUCGCGUUGUUAAGUCUACAUUGGGGCUCUCGAGAAGGUGGAACGCAAGGAUCUGUCGGAAUACGAUGGGUACAAAUCAUAGGACUGAUUCCUGUAAGAUCUUGGAGUGAGUAGCCAAAAACUGAGUGAUGUUUCUCAAGAAUGGUCAUCAAUCGCAGAGUUUGCUCCUGAGUGAGUUUAUCACUAAUGAUCACAGGAAACUCUGGAUUAUUGUUUAGGAAAGCAUAGAUAAGACCGGGUGGUAAAGUUUUAAGCUCUAUGGGAGGUCUAGGCGUUUCUGCAAACUCGUCUAAAGGUUCAGGUUCAGAAGGUUCGGCCUCUUCUUCUGUGAAGAAAGGAGCUUCAUCUUCUAAGUCUGGUUUAUCUAAAAGCUCUAGAGAUGAAGCCUUUACCUCCUCCAUAGGAUCAGGCAAAAGAUAUGACUCGACCUUAUUAUUUAAGGAGUGUGAAAUUGUUAUUGGAAAUUUAAAAGUUUUUCCAAAAGAAAUGUGUAGCUUUCCAGUAUGACCUUCAUAAAGGAGUCUUCUAAAAGGUUGUCCUAUCAACAGGUCGAAGUCCCAUGUAUCAAAGAUAUAGAAGUUCAAAUGAACCAUGGAGCCUUCUACCAUAUGGAGUAGGACAUUAAUAAUUCCAAGACUGGGGACUAAUCGUCCCGAAGAUUCCUUUAUGACCUUUGUUGUGGGGGUUAAGACCAAAUUUUUAAAUAAUUUAAGUGCAAAAGAUUCAGACAUGAUGUUGAUCCCCACAACAGGAUUAUAGAGAGCAUCAAAUUGAUCAGAAUCAUAAGCACAACGUAUAGUUAUAGAAGGUGUGUCCAAACGGAUCACAUCAGAGGAAAGGUCUGACUCCUCCAACCAUUCGCUACUCAUGACUGCGAUAAGCUCUCUCAAUUGAUGUUUAGUUGGCAAACAAAUGCUAAAAUGGUCAUUUUGGGGUCUGUCAAUAGAAUGGUAGUUUGAAAUGUUUCCAAAAUCGGCAAAAAGAUCAGAUUCUAUAUCCAGCAUGAAAUCAGGUGGUGGAAUUUCUUCCUUUUGUGGCUCAGAACUUGUGAUAGCUAAAGUAGAUGGAGAAUUUGACAGAGUGUCUACUUCGGCUUCGUGGAUUUCAUCAUGAAGGGUAUUAUCCAUCUCAGCUUCUAGGAUUCUAUCUAGGAUCACUCUAGCAUCAUCAGUAGGGAUGCGAAAGAAAGAACCUCUAGACAUUGUAUGUAGCAUUUGUUUAUGAUCUUUCUGAAGACCUCGAAAGAAGUGAAAUAAAAGAACAGGGUCUUCAAGAUUAAGGUUUUGACCAGAUUCUAAAAGAUCAGAAAACGUUUCUAGGAUUUUCCUAAAGUUUCAUUAUCUUUUUGUUUAAAAGAUAGGACUUCGAGUCUAAGGUCGCCGAUACGGCCGAGGGACUAAAAAUCUAGGCAAAAGUUUGGCUCGUAAAACUCCCCAUUCACCUCGUUGUUGACUUACCUUCUGAUUAUACCAUUGUCUAGCUUCUCCCCUUAAAGAAAAAGGAAAAAGCUUCCAACGUAAAGUUUUAUCAGAAAUGCCUUCAAUGCGAAGACAAUCACAUGUUUGCUCAAAAUCUCUAAUAUGAAGGUAAGGGUUUUCGUCUUCCUUUUUUGAAAAGGAUAGGUUUUGAAUCAUGGCAAUCAACCUGGAACUUAACCUAUACUGGGAUGUUUGGAUAGGCUGUGAUGACUCCCAUGGUAAAAGGUCAGUUUCUGAAGGUGUUGCAAAUUGAUAAGGUAAGAAUAAAGAAAAUAAAUAAAGAAUAUAAAAGAUAAGAAAAGAUAAAAGUAUAGAUACAAGCUAGUAGUAAGACUCAAGGUUAUCUCAGCAAACCGUCUUUCUCCCCGGCAACGGCGCCAGAAAUGCUUGUUGAUAUUUGGGAACGCAAUAAGAAAUUUGUCGAGGGUAUCAGUAAGGGGUACCCUCACCGAUGCCUAUAACGAGAUUACCCGUACGCAGGUCGAGGCCCACAACUCGAUGCUCUGGUCAUGCACGUACAGUCAUCGACGACCGCAGCCUCGAAGACAGAAAGGGCGUCGAGCGAAUCGCUCAGGAGGUCGAGCGCCAACUACCGUCGAGUACGGAAAUAGGCUCGAGCGAAUCGGGAAGCGUCGAGCGCAGGGACACUGUCCGCCGCCUGACGCGCGCACGAGAGCCAGGGCAUUUAAUGCGCCAGUCGCUUUCCCGCCUAACACGCUGGUCACGGGAGGCGUGAUAGGAAACAGGCACCCGUCCCAUCGUUCUUUUUGCAGCCUUCCCUACCAAACGACCCAGAGCAUGUCAGGACGCGGGAAGUAGGGACGGAACGUCUAAUCAGGACCCCCUCGAGAGAACCAAGGUCAGCGCUCCGGAUAUCAGGGCAUUGCACGGCGUCCGACCCUCGACCAGACAUGGUUCCUUCCUGGGGACGAGUUGGGCGUCGACUGGCAGCACUGCAACCACUCCACCGGAUCCGCCACCAUACCGUACAGGCGUGCGACCGGUGAACCAGCCCAAGACGACGCGCAGAGCGGGAUACAGGGGCACGCGUAAUCAUCAUCAAGCUACCAAGACGGGACGGUUCGAGACCACGCCGGUACGGAGGCCUCGAGUAGGUCCGCGCGCCAUAUCCCUAUCGACCCCUACUCUGAUACCUACACAUGUACCCUGGUCUUCCCCUUGGAACUAUAAAAGGGGGAGCCCGGGAGCGACCACGGCAGGGCAAAAACACACAACACUACACCCAUACGCAGUAGAACUCUCAUACUCCAUACCACGCUUGUAUUCGCCGCUGUACAAGCACUUCGGUGCAAGAUAAUACAAACUCCCCUCCCCCGCUGGACGUAGGGCCUUCUCUUGCCCGAACCAGGAUAAAUCUCUGUGUCUUCUUGCAUCACCAUCUGGGAAAGGGAGCACGCAUACAAAUUUACUCGUUGGAGUGACCCCCCAUGGGGAAAACACCGACAGUUGGCGCGCCAGGUAGGGGUCCUGCGUGUUUUUUCAUCGAUUUCCCACUCCUUUCCAGAUGGCCACUCUCGCUUCGCCGAUUCCACGCUCUACGGUGAUUUGGUUUGGGAGUCUUGAGUUCAUGUCGACUGGCUCCGGCUAUGACAUGAUCUUACUCUCGAUCAAAGGACCGGGAGGAGCCCGCGUUGCGCCAGCACGGUUGAGGGCCCUGAGACGCCCUCGCCACCACGCCUCCCCGCCCAAAAAGAGGCGUGGACAGCGUCAUCGUCGCCCCUCUGCCUCGUCACGACCAGCAGUUCGCGCUAGGCAAGAGGUGACACAGGAGUCGGCGGCCCCACGUGCCGGAACCGUGGACAUGUUGGUUCAGCGUCACACGACGACAAGAGGUGACACACCCGCCUCCAGGUUACUUCCACACGGGUUGUUCACUCCAAGAAGGGCACUGCCAUUCGGACUAGACAACACCGCGGCGUCGCUCGUCAGAGCGAUAUGCCCAAAUACCCAGACGUACGUGGAGAGACCAAUGGUUCUCCCGCGUAACUACGAAGCACAGCAGCCGACGUCCGAGCUGCCGGAUUUCUCCCAGGUGCGAGGCCUCCGUCGCCUAGGCCCUGGACAAUACACGAUCACCUCACUCAGGCAGCGGCUGCUGGAGGAGGGAUGUGGUUGUUUCUAUGCCGCCAAGCCGGACUCCGACUCCGAGACCGAUAGCUACGACCCUACUAGGGAAUGCUACCACAUCGACGGGGCGGUGGAAACUACCGACGAGACGCAGGACGCAGCUGCGGGCGGCCGAGCCCCUGCAGCAAGGGAAGACCCCAGGACGCCUAGGAACGGCGGACAGGUCGACCCACUUCCACAGGAAGACAGGGCUGUGUAGCUUGAGCAGCUACGUGAGCUCAAGACCAAGCUCGACGAAGACCGUGAGCGCCUCGUCCUACUCGAGCAAAUCCUCGAACAAGACUUGCCUUACCCGCCCGGCGGGAGUGUCCGUAGGCGAGCUCGAGAGGUACACCGGCAAAUCGUCAGAGACGCAGAGCCAGAGCAGCCCGUCAGCCGCUUCCCUCGAGCAGGCCAAAAUGUAGUGGCAGCGACAAUGCUGCUGCGCAAUAUGCCGGAGCCAUCGAACUCCCAAGCUCGACGUAUUAGAGACGAGGUGCAGACUCUGCUCCAGGUAGCGGCAGUACAACAAGCCGAAAGCUCGGCCUCUCGACGACGAGGAGCCGCCACUGAAAAAUGCGAUGAGUCACUCCAAAAUGAAAAGGAGGUGUCAGUCCAUCAACAGCCGCCCCCUCGAGGAAGAAAGACCACUCUCGUCCUCCCCGUCGACAAUCAGCGUCGACACGACGCGCGGCAUGACAUCGAAGAGAAUCGACGCCGCCGACAUGGAGACGCGGAAGAACGUGGUUACAGCGCACAUCGUGGCGGGAGAUACGACAGCGACGAGGACCGGAUGGCCCCCGAGCCACCAGGCCCACGGGUGUUCAGCAGGGCAAUCCGCAGCACGCCCCUACCCAGUCCGUUCCGACCCCCGACCAGCAUCGCAAAAUACAACGGUGAGACCAAGCCAGAAUUGUGGUUAGCCGACUUUAGGCUGGCCUGUCUGUUGGGGGGAGCUCGAGGUGACGAUCGAGCCAUCAUCAGACAGCUACCGCUUUUUCUCUCUGAUACCGCCCGUCGAUGGCUCGAGGAACUUCCAGCUAAUCAGAUCCACGACUGGGUCGAUUUGGUUAGGGUCUUCGAGGGUAAUUUCAAAGGGACCUACAUACGGCCCGGGAACUCGUGGGACCUCAGCAAGUGCAAGCAGAAGCCAGGAGAAACUCUUCGAGAGUAUGCUCGACGCUUCUCAAAGCAGCGCACCGAGCUGCCACAUAUCCCUGACCAUGAUGUCAUCCUGGCCUUUGUCUCUGGUACCACCAGUCGAGACCUGGUACGAGAAUCGGGCCGGAAUCACCCUCAAACCGUCGAUGAGCUCAUGGACGUAGUGGCAAACUACGCAGCAGGAGAGGAAGCAGUCGGUGCCUUCUUCAGUUGUGAAGGAAGGAAAGGCAAGCAGCCCGUCGAUGAAGAUGGGGCCCCCAGUCAAAGGCUCAAGAAGAAUAAGAAGAAGCAUAAAGCACGGCAGUUCUAGCGGGAAGAUUUCGACAACAACCUUGUCGCCGCCAUGGAGCGGAAGAAGCCUCGGGGCCCUCCAGAUGGAGGUAUCUUCGAUAAGAUGCUAGAGGAACCAUGCCCUUACCAUAAGGGAGGCGCCAACCACAAGCUCAAAGAUUAUCGUAUGCUGAAAAAGCAUUUCGACGGUUUGGGGUUCAAGAAGGAUGCGCGUGACGACUCGAAGAAGGAGAAGGGCGGUAACAAGGAAGACAACAAAGACGACUAUGGUUUCCCCGCCGUUCACGACUGCUACAUGAUCUAUGGUGGGCCCUCAACGCAGUUGACUGCGAGGCAGCGCAAAAGGGAACGGCGUGAAGUUUUCGCGGCAAGAAUGGCGGUGCCCCAGUACCUCAACUGGUCGAGCACACCCAUCACCUUUGAUCGAGAGGACCACCCUGACAAGGUAGUCGCCCUAGGCGUCUACCCGCUCGUCGUCGACCCCAUCAUCGUCAACACCCGGCUCUCAAAAGUGCUGAUGGACGGCGGCAGCAGCCUCAACAUCAUCUACCUCGAGACCCUCGACCUCCUCGGCAUUGAUAGGGGAAGGCUCCAACCAAGCGCCGGGGGUUUCCAUGGAGUCGUGCCAGGGAAAAAGGCGCUGCCAGUAGGUCGAAUCGACCUACCAGUCUGCUUCGGCACGGCGGCCAACUUCAGAAAGGAGACCCUCACCUUUGAGGUGGUCGGGUUUUGAGGCACGUACAAUGCCAUCAUCGGGCGCCCGGGCUACGCCAAGUUCAUGGCUAUACCCAACUAUACCUAUUUGAAGCUGAAGAUGCCCGGUCCUAAGGGCGUCAUGACCGUCAGCUCCUCCUUCGAGCACGCUUACGAGUGCGACAUCGAGUGCGUCGAGUAUGGGGAGGCAGUUGAGAACUCCACCGAGCUUGUCGCGAAACUCGAGGCUCUGGCCACUGAGGCUCCAUAGCCCAAGCACCACGCGGGCAGCUUUGAGCCAGCAGAGGGAACCAAGAAGAUCCCGCUCGACCCUAACAACUCCGAUGGCAAGGUGCCGACGAUCAGCGCCGACCUCGACCCCAAAUAGGAAGCUGUGCUCGUCGACUUUCUCCGUGCGAACGCCGACAUGUUUGCAUGGAUCCCCUCGGACAUGCCUGGCAUACCGAGGGAAGUCGCCGAGCACUCCUUGGAAAUUCGAGCCGGUUCCAAGCUAGUGAAGCAACGGUUGCGCCGAUUCGACGAGGAGAAGCGCAAGAUCAUUGGCGAGGAGGUCCACAAGCUGUUGACGGCCGGAUUCAUCAAGGAGGUUCACCAUCCCGACUGGUUAGCAAACCCUGUACUAGUUAAGAAAAAGAAUGGGAAAAUGAGGAUGUGUGUCGAUUAUACGGGUUUAAAUAAAGCAUGUCCGAAAGUUCCCUUUCCAUUACCACGUAUUGAUCAAAUUGUUGAUUCUACUGCGGGAUGUGAAACCCUUUCUUUCCUGGAUGCAUAUUCUGGUUACCAUCAAAUAAAAAUGAAAGAGUCCGACCAGCUCGCGACCUCUUUCAUCACACCUUUUGGGAUGUAUUGCUAUGUAACCAUGCCGUUUGGGCAUCGAAAUGCGGGAGCCACGUACCAACGCUGCAUGCUCCACGUAUUUGGCAAGCACAUAGGGUCGACGGUUGAGGCCUAUGUUCACGACAUUGUCAUCAAAUCAAAGCGGCGAGGAGACCUGAUCCAGGACCUCGAGAUCACUUUUAGCUGCUUACGCACCAACCAGAUCAAGCUCAAUCCCGAGAAAUGCGUUUUCGGCGUGCCUCGAGGCAUGCUCUUGGGUUACAUUGUUUUCCAGCGCGGCAUCGAGGCCAACCCCGAGAAAGUCUCGGCCAUCACAAGAAUGGGGCCGAUCCGAGACGUCAAGGGUGUGCAGAGGGUCAUAGGAUGACUAGCGGCGUUGAGCCGUUUCAUCUCGAGAUUAGGAGAAAAGGCGUUACCACUAUAUCGACUCUUGAAGAAGGUCGAGCGCUUUUCUUGGACCCCCGAGGCCGAGGAAGCCCUCGAAAAUCUGAAGAAAACACUGACCUCAGCACCGGUCCUGGUCCCGCCUCAACCUGCGGAACCACUGCUCCUUUACGUCGCCUCGACAACCCAGGUUGUCAGUGCAGCGGUGGUAGUCGAGAGGCAGGAAGAGGGGCACGCGUUGCCAGUCCAGAGGCUGGUCUAUUUCGUCAGCGAGGUGCUCUCGGAGACCAAGGCACGUUACCCCCAAAUCCAGAAGCUGAUCUAUGCCAUGAUCCUCGCCCGCCGCAAGCUGCAGCACUACUUCCUCGGCCACCCUAUCACGGUGGUCUCGUCUUUCCCCCUGGGCGAGAUAAUCCAGAGUAAGGAGGCCACAGGAAGAAUAGCUAAAUGGUCGGUCGAGCUCAUGGGUGAGACUCUCACUUAUGCGCCUCGCAAGGCCAUCAAAUCGCAAGCCCUGGUGGACUUCGUCGCGGAAUGGACAGACUCCCAGCUUCCCCCGACUCAGAUCCAGUUGGAGCUGUGGACGAUGUAUUUCGACGGGUCGCUCAUGAAAACAGGGGUCGGGGCCGGCCUGCUGUUCAUCUCGCCCUUAGGCGUCCAUAUGAGGUACGUCAUUAGGAUCCACUUUGCCACGUCUAACAAUGUCGCGGAAUACGAGGCCCUCGUCAACGGUCUCAAGAUCGCUAUCGAGCUAGGAGUCCGACGCCUCGACGUCUGAGGCGACUCCCAACUCGUCAUCGACCAAGUGAUGAAGACCUCGAGCUGCGACGACCCAAAAAUGGAGGCAUACUGCAAGGAAGUCCGUCGACUUGAGGACAAAUUCCAUGGCCUUGAGCUCGUCCACAUCGCCCGACGCUACAACGAGGUAGCCGACGAACUCGCCAAGAUCGCGUCGACCCGGGGCACGGUACCCCCUGACGCGUUCUCAAGAGAUCUUCACGAACCGUCUGUCGACUUGGGCUCGGGGGCUGGCGUCGAUGCCGCUCCUGCCCAGCAAACCCACACCGUCGACAUGCUAUUGAUGGCAGCCGAGGUGAUGGAAGUAGACUGGCGGCCCGGUCGGCCGUUCGACUGGUGCACACCAUUCCUCGACUGCCUAAUCCGCUGCGAGCUACCAGAAGAUCGAUCUGAGGCCCGCCGUAUCGCUCGACGGGCCAAGUCAUACGUAAUCUAUGACGAAGACAACAAACUAUACCGACGAAGCCCGACGGGGGUCUUGCAGCGUUGCAUCACUGUGGAAGAAGGCCGGAAACUCCUCGAGGACCUACACUCGGGGGCUUGUGGUCACCAUGCUGCUCCACGGACCCUUGUAGGGAACGCCUUCCGACAAGGUUUCUACUGGCCAACGGCCGUAGCUGACGCCAUCGAGCUCGUACGCUCAUGUCAUGGGUGCCAGUUCUACGCCAAACAGACGCAUCUACCCGCCCACGCCCUUCAGAUGAUCCCCAUCACAUGGCCAUUUGCGGUAUGGGGGCUCGACUUAGUAGGGCCCCUACAAAAGACGAAAGGAGGGUACACCCACUUGCUGGUGGCCAUCGACAAAUUCUCCAAAUGGAUCGAGGCUCGACCCAUCACCAACAUCCGCUCCGAGCAGGCCGUCCUUUUCUUCACCGACAUUAUCCACCGGUUUGGGAUUCCCAACGUCAUCAUCACCGACAAUGGCACUCAGUUCACCGGCAAAAAGUUCUUGGACUUCUGUGAUCAGCAUCACAUCCGUGUGAACUGGUCUGCAGUAGCCCACCAUCGAACUAACGGCCAGGUCGAGCGUGCCAACGACAUGAUUUUGCAAGGAUCUACAAUUGCUUGAAGAAAUUCGGCAAGAGGUGGAUCGAAGAGCUUUCCUCGGUCCUAUGGAGCCUAAGGACAACACCAAGCAGGGCCACAAAAUACACCCCAUUCUUCAUGGUCUACGGCUCUGAGGCGGUCCUCCCCACAGACCUCGAGUAUGGAUCCCCUCGACUUAAAGCGUACAAUGAGCAGUCAAAUAAGGAGACUCAAGAAAACGCAGUCGACCAACUCGAGGAGGCUCGGGACAUGGCCCUCCUUAACUCUGCCAGAUACCAGCAGAAACUUCGACGCUACCACGACAAACACGUACGCAAGAGGGACUUAAACGUGGGGACCUUGUCCUGCGACGACGGCAAAGCAAUCAAGGACGCCACAAGCUGACUCCACCUUGGGAAGGCCCGUACGUGGUGGCCGAGGUCUUGAAGCCAGGAACGUACAAGUUAGCGAACGAGAAGGGGGUGAUCUUCACCAACGCAUGGAACAUCGAACAGCUACAUCGAUUCUACCCUUAGAAUUUCGAAACUUUAUGUUCCAGCACCCAUUCUGUACCAAGACUUUGUAAAUGAAUGCAUGAAUAAAUAAAGUCUUUCCCUUGAGCAACUUCCUUUUGUACCAACGCUGUACAAGUUAAAAUCUCGACGUCACAAGGGGGCGCCGACUAUGACCCAUCAUAGUCAGCACCCCCUCGGGGGCCACCAGGGGGGCCACCCCCCCACGUGUCGAAAAAGCCAAGAAAUUCUUUCUUCCUUACUUUGUAAACUUUGCACGAUUCGAGUAGCGGAGGCGCCUCGAGCCCCUCGAGGCCCGAGGGACAACGAGCCUGAGAACUCCUACGCCCCCGGGCUACGAAAACUCUACUCAUUUCCCCACCCUUGAGGUGGUCGAGGCUGUUUUUGACGAAAGAUCGAACAAGGAAUACAAACAUAGGCGCAAAAGGGAAUAAAAGAGCCUCGAGCGGAAAGACAGAUAAACAUUUAAAUAUACUGUAUCACUUAAAAAACAAGUUGAUAGGAAUACUAUACAAGGGGCCCCAGGCACCCAAAGGAGGCUCGCAGGCCUUAGUCCUCAGCACGAUCCUCACCUACGCCCGAGCUAGUCUCAGGAGGAAGCACCUCAGGCUCAAAUAGCUUGGCCAGCCUCUCCCCAGGAGCCUCCGCAUCGUCGAUCAAGGCGUGGAGCCUCUCUUCGUUCUCCGUGUCGGUCUUAGAGAUGUCGGUGACGAACCCAUGGGACACCACCUCCAUGUCGUAGGAGAAGCCCGAGCAGACAACCGCCAUCGCCCGUUUCACCCCGAUGUGGAGGGCAUCCUGCACCCGAUCUCGCAGCAUUGUGCCUAAGUAGCACAGCUGGUCGACCAGUGCAUCGCCUCGAGCGUCCUCCUUCGACUCAUCCAUAGGCUCGAUCUCCCAGGAGGUCAAGAGAUCACUUAUCGCCGUUCGCACUCGACGGUUCAAAGCAACCUCCGCCUCGAGCUGGGCCUUAGCAUUGCGGGCCUCGGCUUGGGCGGCCAAGAGUUCGUCCUUAAGCCCUAAUAAACACCAAUACAAGAAACUUUAGGGUAAACCAAGCACGCCUCGAAAAAGAAAUCCAACAAUAGAAACAUACCGCGGACAUUCUCCUCCAGGGCCGUGUUCUCAUCGACUAAUCUGGUGUUGGCCCUCUCGAUCUCUUUGUUGGAGCGUGCCAGCUCAGUGUUGGCAACGCAGAGAUCCUCGAUCGCCUUGCCACCCUGAGCUAUGGACCCGCUCUUCUUCAACAGCUCUCCCUUCAGACGUUCGACGUCGUCAGAGAGCCCGCGGGAUCGAGCCCGCUCCGCCUCGAGAUCUUCGAGGGCCUUCUUCUUUGCGUCCUCUGCGGCACCCCUGGCGACCUCGCCGUCCACAUACGCCACCUUCAUCUUUUGGAAGGAUUCUCGGAGGGAAUCCAGGUCGGUCUUGAGAAGGCCCUUCUCCCUAUCCAGAUCAGCAAUGACGUUCUUAUAAGACAGGGCCUCCUCCCGGGCUUUAGACGCGGCCUCCUCGACCGCUAGAGCCCGCUCCCGCAGUAGCGUCGUCUCCUCCUCCGCGUUCCUUGAAGCCUCUCGAGCCUCGACCAAGGUAGCCUCCCUCGCCUUCUUCUCCUCCUCGAGCGCUAUAAGGUCUUUAUAGGCCUUAAGGAGCUUUUCUUGUGACUCGAGGAGUUGGUCCUUGAGGACGGGGAGCUGCUCCCAGCCUCCUCUUGUGGCGUGGAUGAAGCUCGACUUGAUACGGGAGGUCUCUUUCAUGUCCUGCGAGCCGAGGGUCGAACGGUUAGAACAUGAAACCAAAGGAUCUAUGAGAAUUAAGGACCAAAAAAUACUUACAAAGUAGGCCGGCCCGAGCCCGUUGUUGAUGACGUCCGCCAGGAGCCCCACCACGUGCUUCAUCCAAAGGCGGAGCUCCUCGACGUGUUCCCAUUUCUCCGCCUCCUUCCUAUUGUCCAGGAAGAUGUUGGGCUCGGACGGAUCGGUGGAGGCCCGGAUGCGGAUCCGAUCGGGGCACCAGUGCUCCAUCUCCCAGUCAGCCCGCGCCUUGACACCGCGGAUAAGGUCCUCGACGGUCUCGAGGGAGCCCCCAUGGCGCAAGAACAGGUCGACGAGGCAUGGGAACCGCCUAUCGUCGUCCACCGUCUUCCAGGUACCGUCCUUACUCCCCGAUGUCCCAGCCUCAUCCUCCUCGGUAGGGAUGCGAUCCUCCCACGCCCGGCGCUCCCGGAGGAACCCUGGUGCGAUCCCGUCCAUGUCGUAGAUCGUCCUCUUGAUCUCGGACUCGGGGUCAACGGGGGUGCGCAUUAUACAGGCAAGCGCCACCACACCGUCCGCCCGCCCCGGCUCUGCCCGGAUCGCAGCGGGCGCCCCCGGAAGAAGCCACGAUGGGGUUGGAGGGCCGUACACCGGCAAAUCCUCUUCCUGCUCUCCGGGUUCUUGCGGCGCCGGUGGAACGGGUUGUGGCGGACUUUGAGGUGGGGGCUCGAGCGGUCCCCCUUCUUGGCCCCCCUGCUGCUGCUGUUCCUCCUGCUGCCGCUGCUGUUGCUGCUGCUGUUCCUCCUGCUGCCGCUGCUGUUGCUGUUGCUGCUCCUGCGGCUGCCGCGCUGCCUCGCGCUCCCGCUCCUCCUCCUCCUCUUUCUUCUUCUGCUCCUAGAGGGAGCGAAGACCGGCGGGCUAGGGAGUCCGUCCCGCGAUGAGGGAGGUGACGCCUCCUCCUCCAUAGGGCGGGCAUCCCCCGACGCCUCGUUGCCACCAGACGUGUCGCUGAUGGUGAUGGGGUCCGCCUCGACUCCCGAUCGAGGAGGCUCGGGGGCUCCUUCUUGCCCCUGAGUUUGGGGCGCCUCGACACGUGUCAACGACAACGGGGUAGGCUCGGGACUAGGCGGAGCACUCUCAGCCUCGGCUGGAGGUUGAGAGUUGGAGGAGCCUGCAAAACAAAGAAUAGAAGUCAGUCACUAUAAUAAUCAACGCAAGAGCGUCACAAGACCAGCAGUAAGCUACAAACCUGGCUCUUUGGAGACUGCUCCCGCUUUGAGCCUUUUCGCCAUUGAAGGCUGGGCCUGCUCGAGCGUCCGCUUUAGCCUGAGAAAAGAAAGGAACGACCGUAAAAAGAUCGGCAUAUGAGAAAAUGCAGAGGAACAGGAAAACAAACGUCACAGCGUCGAUGAAGCUUACCCCACAGGGAGAACAGCUCGCCUCCCGGUGCCCCGACCGGUGGGCCUCGAGCCACCCCGCGUCAAGGCUCCAGGCCCCUCGAGGACAGGAGCUGGCCUUGGCGCAGCAACUCCCGCUUGGCGGGCACCGGGAUUGGCGCUCCUGCAGCCGGCCUCUCCUUUCUCGGAGGCCGCGGCGCGACCACGAGUCAGUGGCCCCAUCGCCUGGGGCCUAGCAUGGCCGCCCCCUAGACGCAGGGGGAGGGCGUGGCGCGACCUGACCAGCCAUGGGCGCAGGAGGGGUGACGGCCCGAGGGCGGUGAGAUCCGCCCGGACCCUCCUUUGGAGUUUCCGUUCGGGGGGCGUCGACGUCGCCUCGAGGCAGACCCUCGAGGAUCCGGUCAAGGCGCGACGCCAUCCCCUCGGAGUCAUCGCUGUCCUCAUCAUCAUCAUCGUCGUCGCUGGUGGAUUCAUCCUCAGGCUCCCCCCUCUGCCUGGAUUUAGCUCGACGCGCCUCUAAUGCUUGGCGGUUGAGGUUCUUCUUUUUCUCACCUUUCUUCGCAGAGUCCUUGGCGGACUUCAGCUUCUCGGCGGACUGGCACCGUCUGUCGCGGUCGACCUCGUCCUCCUUCAUAGGGGGCCUCGAAGACCGGACAUCAAUGCGUCCCUGCCAGAACAAAGGUAGGCUUAAAAAGGAUCGAAGGAAAUCUAGAGUCGGAGCUAUGUGCAAAAGAAGAGCAUACCAGGUCGAUUGAGCCGUCGUCGGGCCUCAUAGGGAAGCCAUUGACAUGCUCCGGCUUAAAGUCGCCGGCGAUGGCCGCCCUAACCCGGGCAGCGGUUUCAUCGUCCGCCAGGGCCUCGUUGGACAUCCGGCAUGCCUCGAGAUCCCGGGACGAAACGCCCGGCCCCAUCUCGUCCAUCCUCAGUGGCCGAGACAUCAGUGGGAGGACCCUCCGACGAUGGACGGCCGAGAGGACGAGAGCGGCGGACAGGCCCUCCAGGCGCAGCUUCUUCAGGGCAUCGAGGAGGGGGUCGAGCCACGACUAGUGUUCUUGGACGACGCCGUAUGUCCAGUUGUCCAGGCGCUCCGUAAUCAGACGAUCGGUGUAAGCAGGGAGAAGACCGUCGUCGUUCCUCAGAUAGAACCACUGGGAGUCCCAUCCGGCGUGGUUCAAUGACAACCCCACCGGGAUGUACUCGCGCGGCCUCUCCGUCUUCUUCGUCUUCAACACCAGGUUGAGGCACCCGGCCCGCACAUGCUUCCUCACGCCAGUGGUUCCGGUGGGGGCGUUGAAAAGCUCGCCCCUGUAGAGGUGGAGCCACAACUCCUAGUGGGGCAUCAACCCGAGGUAGCCCUCGCACACCGCGGCGAAGAUCGCCACGACGGUGAUGGCGUUCGGGGAGAAAUGCUGGAGCUCCACCCCAUAGUGGAGGCAGAGUGCCCGCAUGAAGCGGCUCGGGGGAGCGCCCAGGCCGUGGCGGUGGAAUUUGGCGAAUGAGACCACGUAGCCCUCGAGCGGCUGGGGCUCCCUGUGGCUUGCCGGCGGCGCAAUCCACUCCGGCGACGACAGCGAGGUGCGGCGGCGCAGGAGUCCCUCUCUCUCAAGCUCUAGCAACCGGCGCUCCGUCAUCGACGACGGGCGCCAGUCGUCGGCGGCGAUGAGUCUCAUAGGCAUCUUGGCUGGAAGGACGGAGGAUUCGCUACCGCUCGAGGGGGUGCGCGCGCGCGUGAGACGGCAAGAGAGCUAAGGCAGUGAAAGGACGAAGGCAAGAAGGCGGAAGGCGGAAGAAAGAACGGCGGCGACGCCAUGGCAUAUUUAUAGGCCGCAGUGCGCCAACGGAUAGAUCCGAUAAAUGAGGUAACUCCCCCCAUAAAUGCGCUGUCUAACGGUCCUUUCCCUCCUCACAGAUGGGACGCUCCGAAUUCCAUGCCGGCACAGUGUCGUAACGUCACCCACCUGAAAAGGCGCGCCCAACGGGCAAAAAGGUGAACCGUCAUGGCCUCUUCCUUUCCUUGUAAGCCAAGGGGCGUGCCCAUAAAAGCCUCGAGAGGUCGCAGGGUGGCCCACCGAAAGGGUUCGACAGCCGUUCUCGAGCAACCGAGUUAGGGAUCCCCAGCGAGUGAUCGAAGAUCGAGGCCCACCUCGAAGACUUGCAGGGGAUGUCCAAGGUAAGGUCGAGACAGUCGAGAGGAAUCCCCCCGACGGGAGGCAUCGAGCCACCGGACUCUAUCGAAUGAGACCGGUAUCCCCGACCACGUCGACCUUGCUUCAUGAGAACGCCUCCGGGCUACAGCUGACACCCUCGAAAGGGGCACAGGUUCUCACUUGGAUUACCCGCUAGGAACUCAAUUUGGGGUGGAAGCGAUCGAUCGAGAGAGAGAGAGACGCACAACUACGAGAGAUCGAGACUGCAAGCUAAUGAACCAAGACACCUACGACCGGCGAAGAUCCAUAGAUUCGUCCAUCGACGAGCUGAGGACGGAUCAAAGAACAUACUACACACAAGAAAUUAACUAAACAAAGGUACACGCACACACACACACAAAAUAAGAACUCAGCUCGAAACUAACGAGUACUACUACUCCGAUCCAGCAGACUGCUUCUGAGAUAAGGAGGCAGGCAGGCCAGGCAUGCAAGCUAUAGCUACUUGACGUGUUAAUUAGUUUUCCAACUCCAUCUCAGCGGUAUCGUAGACAUUGUUGCCAUUUUAUUUCUGUUUCUUGAGUGCCUUUGGUGUUGCGAGUUGAUCAAUUCCCGCAACUUGCUUUUCUUUAAUUUGGACCGUCAAUCGAGCUAGCGUGCUUGAGAGCAAUGCUAUUUUGGUGAGCUAGCUAGGUCCGGAUCUAUCUAGCUAGCUAGUACGAUACGUCUUUGAUCAUCACGCGUAAGUCGUAUGUACAUCCAUGAGAACUAAUCAACCAGCAACGUAUACAUACAUACAUACAUGUACAAUUAAGUAUGGGGUUAAUUAAUUAUGAGAAAUAGAUAAUAAACAUGGAUGCAUGUCUCGAACCAUGCAUUCUCAUUCCAUUAUUCAGAAAGCAGAGCAAACCAAGCAUUCAACUGUCUGGAUAUUACAGUGUUGGAGACAGUGCAUGCAACACGUACACAGAUUAAACAUCAUGGCCGCCUCGCGCCUUACAAGCAAAUCAAUCGGUCGAGACUCCACACACACACACACACACAACUACGACUACGAGAGCUCGAGACUUGCAAACUAAUGAACCAAGACACGACCGACGGUAAGAUCCAUCGAUCCGUCAAUCGACGAGCUGACGACGGAUCGAAGAAUAAUAUACUACUACUACAGUACACAACAAACUAAUAAUAACUAAACAAAUUAAAGGCACACAAUAAGAACGAAACUAAUAAAUACUGCUACCACUCCGAUCCAGCAGCAGACUGUGCUGCUGAGAUUCAGAGGCAUGCAGGCAGGCAAGCUAGCUAAAUAGCUACUGUGGUACGUACGGUGCUUCUGAUGGCCGGACUGCUCGAUGAUGACGAUGAAGAGGAGGAGGACGAGGACGACGACGGAGAGAUCGAUCGGAUCGAGGAGCUAGGUCAUGCUCGUUCGUCAUGCCCUUGUUGCUGGUGGGCAUGCCGUCGGGUCGCGGCUCAAGCCGCGUGCAUAGGGGAUGAUGUCCCUGCCCUCCUUGUCCUUGGGCAUCCAGAAGUUGGCGUCGACGAAAGGGUCCGCGGUGUACUGCGCCGCCUCGUGGCAGUCGGUGACAAUUCGCACGGCGGUGAUGUUGAUGCGGCGGCUCGUGUCGGCGCCGGGCCCGUAGUUGUCGUACUCCAAGUACAACACCGUUUCUGGGAUGGGGCCGCGGCCCUCCCACUCCACCCAUCCAGUGAAGUUGACGAUGGAGUCGAGGAAGCUCUCCAUGAAGAUCACGUGCGAGUGAUUCUUCCACGGCCGACCGAGGAAGGUCUUCACCCCUGUGAGGUCUGCGCCCUCGUCUGCUUUGACCGAACAGUUCUGGAAGGAGAACCCAGAUCUAUCCGUCGAGUUGCUGCGCCCUUGUGCAGUGAUUACAUUUGGCUUGCUAGCACCCAAUCCCGAGCUACGCACCAGGAGCCGGCAACCAAGAAAACUCGCCUUGGCAUAGCCAAACACGAAGUCCACGGUGCCGUGGAUGUCCGUCUCUAGAUAAAUCUGAUCUCCUUUGUUGGCGAAAAGGGUAUCCUGAUACCCCUCGAUGGAGCACCGGUAGAUCAGCGAAAAAUUGGAUUGUGACAUGAGGGCCACCGCCUGUAGGCCUUUUGGACCUGCCGUAUUUCGGAUCGUGAGAUCCUGAGCCAUGAAGGCCAUGCCAUGAACACCUGCACCAUGCAUGACAACCAGCAAAGUCAAGAAACAUUCUCACAUCAUGCAUGCAUGGGUGACCGAUCGAGAGAGGAGAUGGACGUGUGUGAUUUGAAUGAGGAUGAUCGGCACUUACUCACGGUAGCAGUGUCCGGCGUGGUUAGGUUGUCAAACCCGUAGCUCCUGUUCCCGGUGAUCACCGUCUUCCCGGCGCCUUCUCCGAUCAGGAUCACAUGCUUCCGGGUGAUGUUUAGAAUCUCAUUGUACACUCCCUCCUUGAUGAAUAUGGUGAGAAUGCUUUGCUCACUGCCAGUUUGGUCCUUUUGUGCCGCCAAAGCAGCAGUGAUGCUGGCGAACUGGCCGUCGCCGCUGGUGGCGUUCUUGGCAACAAAAACAUGUGUCGUCCCCACCAUGUUUGCGAGCGAUGGCGGCGCUCCGCCCAGGGCCAGCAGCCGCACGACCCAGAGCGGCAGCUUGCCACCGCCGGACAGCGUCUGAUCAGUGUCCAUGGUGGAGAGGACGCCCACUGUUGGUGUUGUGGGCAGCGUCACCGCCGCCGCGGCUGCUGGCGGCUGCCCACUGCUGCCUGUCGUCGUGGCUGGCGCCUCCGUGUCUGUGGUGGAGAGGCCGCUGCCGCUGCCGCUGCCGCCGCCUACUGUUGGCAGCAUCACCGCCGUAGUUGCAGCUGCAGGCGGCAGCCAGUGCCCACUGCCGCCGCCUGUCGUCGAUGGCAGCGCCUCCGUGUGGGUGCUGGAGAGGCCGCCGCCAACUGUUGGCAGCACGGUGGCAUCUGUGGCAGGCGGCUGCAUCACACUACCGCCGCCGCCGGUCACCGUUGGCAGCGCUUCCGUGGUGGUGGAGACGCCACCGGAGGUGCCGCCAGGAGCCAUGAUGGUGGUCAUCAGCAAGCACGCAAGAACAAGCGGUGUGGUGAAAGCUUGAGCCAUGGCUUCUUGAUGGAUGGAUGGAUGGAUGGAUGGAUGGAGCUGCUCACACAGUGAACCGAGCUAAGUAGGUUCUUUAUAUGCAGUAGCAGGAGAGAUCGACCGACCAGUGCGGCAGGGCAAAAGGGCCAAUAAUGCAUGCUAGGGGCACAAGCAACGGGUAAGAAGCGAGAGACAGCGCCGGAGUAGUGUAGUAUCUGUACGCGCAUACAUGUAUGCUAUGGUGUAAUCUUGGACAUUUCAUUCAAUGUAUGCCUGCCAGCGAAGCCAGUAGCAUAUAUAAAAAUUAAAACUGUCAAAGACCGACAUGCUACGUAGUACUAGUAGGUAGUAGUAUGAUCCAUCGACCUCUUCUACACCCUCUCGAUACGGCCUGACGACUGCACACCUACUACUAUGGCUAUCCAGAAACUAGAUACCCCUAAGGUAGCCGGUUCUCCUUUUCUUUUAUAGGGGGAAGUUAAAGUGUGUCUCCUACUAAAUUCACUCAAACUUGAGAUAUUUCGAUUUUAUAAGAUUCUUAAAAUAACUUAUAAUUUAGGAUGGAAGGAGUAAUUAAUAAUUUACUGCAAAAUUCAUCGCCAUCACAUUUUUUUUAAAAGAAAAGGUAUUUUGCACGUCUUUGAUAACCUUUCUUUUAAGCCUUUUCACUUAGCUAGCUAUUAUUACUACUCAAAAAGCUAAGACAUCAAUAUUAUUAUGUAUAUAAAUUAGAGGUUGUUUUACUUUAUUUCCAUUACAAAUUAUAGUCUUCGAUCUGUUCGUUCCUUCGGUUAUUUUCACACAGAGAGAAUAAUUGCAUAAUUCCCCUCUCUCUCUCUCUCUCCUAGUCUCAUUUUUUAAUCAUACCCAUUAGGGAUGUUGUUGAGGAUUCUUGAUGUCUAAAUAAAGUUAAGCUCCGACAUUUGUCUCCUUUCGAGUCUCCCAAAAGAUGCAUGAGUGGAGUUAGACUUCUCAUCGCUUUCCACAAUGAGUGUUGCAAUAUGUCUAAGAUGUUUAAUUUGUGCACCACUAUACACUAUUAAGAGCCUAGGGCAUCCAAUAGUUAUAGGAAGCCCUAGCCGAAACACCAGUUGAUCCGACCAAACCAGCUAGUCACUCAGCAACCCGCCUUGGCCCAUCCCAGCUCACCUACCUUGCCGGCCCAUCCAUCACAGUAUAUAAAUUGGGCACCUCCAAACCCUAAUCACGAGAUGCCCUCGUCCAGCCACCAGCCCACCACCGGCCAUCCACCCCCACUUGCCUCGACCGCCGACCACCGGCGGCCCUCCCCACCCACAGCGAGCGUCGUUGGCCCCCUUCCCUGGAUCUGCGCUCCCUGGAUAUGACGACGUGGAGGCGACAACCUCUAGGACCUAUUCUCAACCCGGCAUACAACAAGAUGGUUGCGGUGGUCGGGACACAAGCGGCGGCGCUGCACCUCCCCAUGAGCGCACCCCUACCGCCCCUACGAUGCCGCGGCGGUGUCCUUCCCAACCACAGCGACACCCUUCCCACCCCUGGCGGCUCCCCACCAUCCACAGCACGCCCCCAUCAUCCACGGUGAGAUCCAUAGAGGUGGCCACGGUAGCUGCCUCCCCACCAUGGCAUAAUCCAUGGAGGCAGCCACGACCAUCCCCUACCCCGACGACAGUCCAUGGAGGACCUCCCCACCAUCCAACGACAAGAUCCAUCCACCCUAGUGGCUCCCUCUGACCCUAGUCGAGGCUCGACUGCGCGGUGGCGUAAGCCAACGGUACGCGGACCGCGUGCAUGCAUUCGUGCGGGCCGCAGGGGUGUGUAGCUCUGGCCUCUCAGCGCACCUCCUCGCCAUGGCACACAGCGGCAUCCCAACACCCCCUCCAUGGCUUGGUAAGCAGAGGCAUGUGGGUCCUCCUGAGCAAGAUCUGGUGAGCAUCCACGCGAAUCUCCGGCCAAGGGCGGCGUGGGUGAUAGUUGAGGAUUUUGCCUCACCUCUCCCGGCGGCGGUGACAGUCCCCAAACACCUGCGAUGGUGCCUCCUCACAAUUUCAUAUUCCUUUUUUCUUGUCAACAUCCUCACAGCUAAGAGAUUGAUUAUAUUUUUUCUAAUUUCGAAAUUAACUAAUUUUAUGAAAUAAAAAUAAUUCUAGAGAAUCUAGAAUCACCAUUUAUAUCACAAAAUUAAUCCGAAGCUUAGAAAAUCCCUAGAAAAAAAUCCUAGAAAUGGAUUAAAGGAUGAGGAACUCAAACAAAGCAUUUGGAGCUCAUGAAAAGAUUUUUUUUGGAACUUCGAAUAAAAAAGAUUAAGGUCAAGGGGAGUAGGAAUUAAAUUCUAGAAAAAACUAGAAAAUUCUUAUAGAUAGAAUAUUUAUCUUCUGAAUGUAUUUUAAAAUAUUUAGAAUGUUUAUCUUCUAAAUGUAUUUUAAAGGCGCCAGGGACCGCGGGUUAGAUAAGAGAGAAAGAGAGGGACUCUUUAGCAAGAUUGACCCCGAAGGGGUAUCUUCUAAUUUUGGCCGUUGAUUCAAGAUCCUACGGCCCAAAUCUGCUAAGGAUGAUGGAGAGGGGUGACAACCGUCCGGCUACAGGGCACCGACGGCGGCGCCAUUGCCGGAGAGCUUGGAGCCUCGUUGGAGUUGGUCGGGACGACGUUCUAGUGCACCAAAUUCAAAUCCGAGAGCAUGGGGAGCAAGAGAGGGACGCCGCGAACUCACCAAGACCAAGAUAAAGGACGGGGACAGCUCGGAGAGGUGAGACCACGCGGUGUGGCGGCUCGAUGCUCCUGCAGAGGGUUCGGCGAGGACUUAGGAGCAAAAGAUCGUGCUAGAGUGUAAAAGGAAGGGCUAGGCAUGUUCGUCACCUCAAUCCGAAGCUCGGCACGGUAUCGAUUUUGUUGACACGGCCAUGGACAGAAAGUUCCACGGCGGCGGCAAUUGAAACACCUCGGCGAGAUCCGAGACGCGGUAGACCAGAGGCUAGGGCUCAGGCGAAGGCACGAUGAUGGGAAAAACGAGGGCGUGAAGAGGGAAUGGGAUUUUAUAGGAGCUUGAUGCGAGAGUUGGCAAGGAAUCCCGGGAAGAUCGGGAUUGGGGAUUCGCCUGUUAGCCAGAGACCGGCUUGGUCACAACGAGGAAGAAGGGGAGGGAGUCGCUGACCUAGGGGUCCCACCUGGCAGCGACUAAAUGGCGCGCGGCCGGUUUGCCAGAGAUGGGAGGAGGGAAGGCCAGCGCGCGUGCGGGCUCGCGCGUUCCUGGGCCACGCACUAGGCCGAGGCGAGGGGGAGACGGGAGGCGCGCCGUUGGGCCAGAGCCUGGGCCGCGCGUGGGGUGUGCUGGCCAACGGGCCGAGGGAAGAAAAGGAGAAGGGGAGGAUGGGGUAGGCCUUCGGCCAAAAUAGAGAGAGGGAGGUUUUCCCUUUUUUGUUUGUUUUCUUUUUGUUCCUUUUUAUUUCAAAAUUUUUUCAAAGCAGUUUUAAAUCAAUUUAAAAUAAUAUUUUGACUUUAACCAAGUUCACACAUUACAAUGAAAAGGAAUGCUCCAAAAUGAAUGCACAAACAAGUUGCUAAACCUAUGGUAAAUUUUAAUUAAAUGAAAAAAUAUUAUUUUCCUAUGUUUUAUGAGCACAAAAAUUCAUAAUUAAAUCAUUUUAGCUCUAUUUCCCGUAAAACAAUUUUUAGGGUGUUACAAAGUUUCAUCUCAUGGAGAGGGUUUAACAUGAUAAUAAAGUUAAUGUUUCUUCAUCCAACUACUAUUUUUUAUGCAACGUUGGUGCAAAAAUCUUUUUUACGCAUCUUGACUAUUUGAUUCGAUGCAUCCAAUCUGUAAUCACAUGCCAUGAUUCAAAUUUUAAAUUUAUGAAUUUUAAUUUUUUUAAAGAAAAUAUUCACAAUGGGUCUUGAAGCAUGCACAAAAAUGUGAGGAGUUCAAUGGUAAAAAUCGUUUUUGAAUCGGAUGCUUUAUUUAAGAAUAUAUUAUCGUGAAAAAUGGAAGAAAUUAGAUUGGUGCAUAUGUGUGUCAGCCUGUGUCAAGUGUUGUCACGUGGAACAUCCAGCUCGUAGAUAGGUUUUUAUGCGAUAACACAUUAAUUUUAAUUCAUACAACCACAAGAUUUUAUGAAUUAUUGUGAUAAAAAUCUUUCUGUGCAGUCUGAUAUAAGAUUUUAUGCGUCUAAUUGAUUAGGUCCUGAAAGGGUCCUCCACCUAUGCGCGCGUUAGCUUCGUAGACAUUCUCAAACCGAUAAAUAAGUAUGAAUACAUACAUAAUGUUGUUUAUUGAAAGAUGAGAGUAAUUACUCCCGGCAUGCAUGCAUUAUAUAUAUAUAUAUAUAUAUAUACACACACACGUGCACGCCACACCAAUCGGCCGAUCGUCGUUGGCCCCCUUCCCUGGAUCUGCGCUCCCUGGAUAUGACGACGUGGAGGCGACAACCUCUAGGACCUAUUCUCAACCCGGCAUACAACAAGAUGGUUGCGGUGGCCGGGACACAAGCGGCGGCGCUGCACCUCCCCAUGAGCGCACCCCUACCGCCCCUACGAUGCCGCGGCGGUGUCCUUCCCAACCACAGCGACACCCUUCCCACCCCUGGCGGCUCCCCACCAUCCAUAGCGCGCCCCCAUCAUCCACGGUGAGAUCCAUAGAGGUGGCCACGGUAGCUGCCUCCCCACCAUGGCAUAAUCCAUGGAGGCAGCCACGGCCAUCCCCUACCCCGACGACAGUCCAUGGAGGAGCUCCCCACCAUCCACCAACAAGAUCCAUCCACCCUAGUGUCUCCCUUCGACCCUAGUCGAGCCUCGACUGUGCGGUGGCGUAAGCCAACGGUACGCGGACCGUGUGCAUGCGUUCAUACGGGCCGCAGGGGUGUGCAGCUCUGGCCUCUCAGCGCACCUCCUCACCAUGGCACACAGCGGCAUCCCAACACCCCCUCCAUGGCUUGGUAAGUAGAGGCAUGUGGGUCCUCCUGAGCAAGAUCUAGGGAGCAUCCACGCGAAUCUCCGACCAAGGGCGGCGUGGGUGAUAGUUGAGGAUUUUGCCUCACCUCUCCCGACGGCGGUGACAAUCCCCAAACACCUGCGACGGUGCCUCCUCACAAUUUCAUAUUCCUUUUUUUCCUGUCAACAUCCUCACAGCUAAGAGAUUGAUUAUAUUUAUGCAAUUGCUUAACACGUUUUAUGUCUUUCUGAAGAUGAUGUUUUAUGCUUAUCUUACGUUAAUGAAAUUAAAAUCAUAAAAUAUAUGUUCUAUGCAUGGUGAACCUAUGCCUUUUUGUAUAUUUUGGGUGAUUUUUAUGCUAAGCUUGCAUAGGUUUCAACACAAGUUGAACUCAAAUUUCAUUCUCAACUAUGGUGUGCAACGAGGACCUACCAAUAAGUUUGUAUACUUAACAUGUUGGAUUUAUAUGCAUUUUUUUGAUAUUAUGUGCAAUGAAUAGGUUUUUGUGCAUUUGAUUUUGGAUUUUUAUGUUUCACGGUUUCUAUGCUAAUUGAAUUAAGUUUUUACACAUUUAAAUCAAUUCUGGUGGCGGUCCUCCACCUAUGCGCGUGUUAGAUUCAUGGACAUACUCAAAUCGAUAAAUAAGUAUAAAUACAUACAUAAUGUAGUUUAUUGAAAGAUGAGAGUAAUUACUCCCAGCAUGCAUGCAUUAUUGUCUCUUACACUAUACUCCCUCCGUCCCUAAAUACUGCUAUUUCUAGGAGAAAAUUUUGUCCACAAAUACUGCUAUUUCAACUAGCAUACUCAGUACAUCAGCCCAUUUAAUUCUCCUUGGAACUUCCAUGGUCCAUCAACCCAUUUAAUUUCUUCUAGGGAGUAGUACUUUGGCGCAUAGUAAUUGUUUGAGUAUGUUUAGUUGGCAUUAAAUGUAGCUCGUUGGAACUAGGGAACCAUGGCUUAAUGUGCAUGAUUAAAUGGUAGAACCCAAAUUAAUUGAGGAUAGAAUGGUUUUUUGUUUGCCACACUAAUCUAUCUGAAAUCUGGUAGAAAUAGCAGUAUCUGGGGAGGAGGGAGUAUAUACGUGCACACCACACCAAUCGGCCGAUCGAGAGAGAUAUGGAGGGAUCGAAAACACAUAUUCCUACUGCAUGUCGUCAGCAUGCAUGCAUGGGAGGUGCGCGCGCGCAGCAAGGAAUAAUAAUAAUGAUGAUGUACUCCCUCCGUCCCUUUUUAAUUGUCGCUUGCGCUUCCCAAAAAAUAAUUACUGAUAAUUAUAUAUUAAAAAAUAUUAAUAUUUAUAAUACAUAAUUAGUAUCAUUAGAAAGAUCUUUCAAUUUAGUUUUUUAACAAAUUUAUUUGGAGAUACAAAUAUUGCACGUAUUUUCUACAAAUCGAGUUAAACUUGUGGCACGCACACCAACGACGACAAUUAAAAAGGGACAGAGUACGUGAUAAUGUAAAAAGCUAGCUAGCAGGCGGCCGUCUCGAUGGAUUAAUCGGUCGUCGAUCUCAGUCGUCUCUCCAUGCAUGCAUCCAUAGCUAGACCGACGUACUGUAGUAAUAGUAGCUACCUAGCUUCUUCUUCUUCUUCCAACUAGUGCUGGCUGCAGGCACGUACUAGCUAGCUAGCUAGUGAUCCGAUCCCCCUAGCUGUAGGCUGUAGCUGCAGCAGACAGCAGCAUGCCCAUGCAUCUUGCAUGGAUGAAGAGACUGAUCGGUCGGUCAAUCGAGACAAUGUGCAGCUGGCUGCUGGCAGAGCACGCUCUAGCUAUUACUCCCAAACCCUAGCUCGGAUCGGAAUCUUUUCGAUUCAGCGCCAUGUUGAAGACCAAUGCAAUGCAAAGUGCAUGCAAUGCAACGAGAGACAGCAGAGCUAUUGAGGAACACAUCAUAUCUAUGCAUCAAGUAGAUAGGAUAUAGGAUCGUAAUAUGUAGUGUGUAUAGUACGUACUAUGUAUUAGCUAAGUAUAUAUUCUUCAUCAUUGGCCUUGUUCACUUCACCCUCGAAACCAAAAACUUUUUCAAGAAUUCCCGGUACAUCGAAUAUUGCGACACAUUGUUGUUCAGUUCACUCUUUCUAUGCAUCGUUUGUAUUUUAAAUAUCCUCUCGUGGCACAAUUAUUAGAACACUAUUCUAUACAAUUGUAUGCAUUAUAUGGGUUUUUGUGUUUCUAUAUAUGGUUGGACCACUCUUCUAUAUAUGCCUUGUUAGAACACUUCAAUAUACAUUGUUGGAACAAUUAUUUGUGUGCCUCUAUACCAUUAUGUACAUUGUUGGAACACAAUUUUCUAUGCGGUAAGAAAUUAAUUUUUAUUCAUCUACCUAUGCAUUUUUUCCAUAUUAAUUAGACCACCCCAUAGUGGGAAGCAUGAUGUUAGUUGAGGUAGUUACAAUUAUGUCAGAUAGAAAGUCCAUCUCAUGGAGAGGGUUUAACACGAUAACAAAGUUAAUGUUUCUUCAUCCAACUACUAUUUUUUAUGCAACGUUGGUGCAAAAAUCUUUUUUAUGCAUCUUGACUCUUUGAUUCUAUGCACCCAAUCUGUAAUCACAUGUCAUGAUUUAAAUUUUAAAUUUAUGAAUUUUAAUUUUUUUAAAAGAAAAUAUUCACAAUGGGUCUUGAAGCAUGCACAAAAAUGUGAGGAGUUCAAUGGUAAAAACCGUUUUUGAAUCGGAUGCUUUAUUUAAGAAUUAUCGUGAAAAAUGGAAGAAAUUAGAUUGGUGCAUAUGUGUCUCAGUGUGUCAGCCUGUGUCAAGUGUUGUCACGUGGAACAUAGAUAGGUUUUUAUGCGAUAACACAUUAAUUUUAAUUCAUACAACCACAAGAUUUUCUGUGCAGUCUAAUAUGAGAUUUUAUGCAUCUAAUUGAUUAGGUCUUGAAAGGGUCCUCCACCUAUGCACGCGUUAGCUUCGUGAAUAUACUUAAACCGAUAAACAAGUAUAUACGUGCACGCCACACCAAUCGGCCGAUCGAGAGAGGUAUGGAGGGAUCGAAAACACAUAUUCCUACUGCAUGUCGUGAGCAUGCAUGCAUGGGAGGUGCGCGCGCGCAGCAAGGAAUAAUAAUAAUGAUGAUGUACGUAAUAAUGUAAAAAGCUAGCUAGCAGGCGGCCGUCUCGAUGGAUUGAUCGGUCGUCGAUCUCAGUCUCUCCAUUCAUGCAUCCAUAGCUAGACCGACGUACAAGACUAGAUCAAGAGAGAAGGAAGCUAAGGGAGCUAGCUAGAAACAGAGCUAGCUAGCUAGUAGCCGAUCGAGAGAUCUAGUAGUUCUAGCAGAGCUCGAUCGCUGCUGGCCGGCCGGGACCAUGCUCUGUAUGCAAGCGGCAUCCCGAUCGAUCAGCCUUCCUCUUUUUCUCCAUCUCCCUGCUGCAGCUAGAGCUAGAGGGAGGAGGAGGAAUAUCGAUCGAUCGAUCAAUCGAUAUGCCUGCAUAUACUGUAUAAACGCAUUAUCGAUUGAUCAUCACUAGCCAGCCAGCCAGCACAGCACAGCAGGACCAUGCAUACGUUUGCCCGGCCGGGACUGAGGGAGAGGCCUAGCUUUGUUUAGAUCAAAAACGAUUUAGGUAUUGCAUGUAUCACUUUCGUUUGUAUUUGGUAAUUAGCGUCUAAUCAUAAACUAACUAGGCUUAAAAGAUUUAAUCUAUAUAAUGCUUCAUGCAUGUGUCGCAAUAUUCGAUGUACCGGAAAAUCUUGAAAAAGUUUUUGGUUUCGAGGGUGAACUGAACAAGGCCAAUGAUGAAGAGUAUACUUAGCUAAUACAUAGUACGUACUAUACACACUACAUAUUACGAUCCUAUAUCCUAUCUACUUGAUGCAUAUAUAUGAUGUGUUCCUCAAUAGCUCUGCUGUCUCUCGUUGCAUUGCAUUGGUCUUCAACAUGGCGCUGAAUCGAAAAGAUUCGGAUCCGAGCUAGGGUUUGGGAGUAAUAGCUAGAGCGAGCUCUGCCAGCCAGCUGCACAUUGUCUCGAUUGACCGACCGAUCAGUCCCUUCAUCCAUGCAAGAUGGGCAUGCUGCUGUCUGCUGCAGCUACAGCCUACAGCUAGGGGGAUCGGAUCACUAGCUAGCUAGCUAGUACGUGCCUGCAGCCAGCACUAGAUAGAGGGAGAGAAAGAAGAAGAAGAAGCACCAGCAGCUAGGUAGCUACUAUUACUACAGUACUCCUCCCUCGUCCUAGUAGCUUCUGACUCGAUCGCGACUGAAGAUCGAUGAUAAUUGACCCACAGCAGCAAGACGACGACGGACGCAGCAGCACUUGAGAGCUACUGUACUUGCUACGUAGGCGCAAGCUAGCUAGCAGCUGGUGUUGGUAUUUCUCUGUGGGUGUACCUAGAACCCGACAGAAAAAAGUCAUAAUUUUCUUGUCGGUUUGGCUAGCACCAGUAGGAGAAUCUUAGUUUCUAGUAGAGUGUCGAGUGAUCUCUGCUGCGCACAGCUAGCCCGAUGUUCCUGACGGCGAAAUCGCCAUACUCGGGCGAGAGCACCACCUUGUCCACGCUCUGAGUGCUCCAGCGUGCACAUUGGAGUCGCCAGCCGCGCCCACAGGAAAUGGUGUACUCCGAUCCGGCCAAAUCGAGAAGACGAUGAUCAUUAACCUCUCAUUCACACACACGCAUGCAUCCCCAAAAUGGCACUUGAUCGAUGAGAUGAACUAACUAAAAGACACUUAAGUGCAUUAAUUGUGAGGUAGUCCAGAUAUUCAUGAGAUCGAUCGUUCUCCAUGGAUGCAUGCAAUGCAAGGAGAGCCAACAAAGGCAUAUCCUAAUUAAGCCAAGCCUGCAAAAAUAGACGUACGGUGCUGACUUAAUUACCUAAUAAUAAUAUAUAAGUAAGGUCCGAAAAAGAAAGGUAUAUAUAUAUAUAUAUGCUCUCAUUCAUAAAGAAUUCAUCAUCAUUAUUCCCUGCAAUAUAAUUAACCAACAACACGAUCGAGUAGCUAGCUAGCCACCCACCGUACCAUGGCUUCUUCUUCCUCCUCCAAUCAUAGCUUCCUGCUGCUGCUUUUAUUCCCUCUCCUGCUGGUGCUGCUCCUCUCCACGACGGUCGUCGCCGCCGAUUCUACAGCUACAGCAGAAAAGUACCAGAAAUGGUGCCAAGUAGCAUCAGAUUCUCCGUCGUGCGUCAAGGUGAUUGAGUCCAUCCCAGGAAUCCAGGAGGUCGAUUACAAUAACGCCGGCAAGGUCGCCGACUUGUGCUUGCAUUUUGCUGCCAAUAAGACAAAGGAGGCCAAGGGAGCUGCUGACACCUUGCUUGCCGCAGAAAAAGGCAAGCCUGCUUCCGGUUGCCUCAAGGCCUGCGCCACCAACAUCAAGUCAAUGGCCGAGGUAUUGGUCAAUCUCCCUGCUGGGCAGGACGACAUGAACGCCUAUCAAACCUAUAAGGAGGUCAGAGCCAAGUUCAAAAACGAGAAACCACCAGCCUGUGAGAAGGACUGCUGGAACAAGACGUCAUCAUCGUCAUCUUCAGCUGCCGACAUCGUGGACAAGUUCCAUGAUAUCUGGAAUGUGGCCAAAGUUGGGAAUAUGCAGAUUAAUUAUAUCUUUCCUUGGCCAGAUAGCGACGACGACGAUAACAUCCUUUAAUUUAAUUUAGGUACGUCUGCAGGGCAUGUACGUACGAUAUAUGACCAUGCAUGGUGUGCCAUGUGAGACCAUGCAUCACAUUAGUAGCUAUUAUUUGUAUGCUUUAAUUUCUUCUUUUUAUUUUGUUUGAUUUGAAGGCAUGCAUGGUCGAUCUUGGCCACGCACCCAAUCUUUGGCAUGUUAUUGUAAAAUGGUAAUAAGUUGUGCUAUUUCUUGCAACAAUGUGUGUUAUAUAUGUUUAAUGUUGUAUUUAUAUCUAUUGCAACGUUAAGGGGACAUAUAUAUAAUUAAUAUUAAUUACACGCACCAUCUCCGAGUCUCCUCCAGAUUGUUUAAGAUUUCAACGCUCGCUUCUGUGUCAAUACGAGAACAAUCAAGGCUUCCUACGUGAAGUAUCGAAGCUUUAUAUAGAAUGCAACAAUAUAUAUAAUAGGCUCUUUAACGACUAACAUAUAUAUGUCAACAUUUAGAUGCAUCCUAUUGGCACCCUAAGAUUCCGAUUGCAUGGCAUUUCUCAACCUUGUAUAUACCUUUUCCUUCCCGCCACAUUAUUGUGUGAACGUUUUUUUGUCUCCAUGUGUAUCUUGGGCUGUGAAUAGAAAACACUAAAUCAAAAUAAACUAUAUUUAUGAUUAUUUUUAUAAAACUUGCAAGAUUUAUUUAUUUAUUUAUUUUGUUAUCAAUUUAAAAGAGUGAAAAUAUUGGUUCAUGUAAGUGAUUUGUUGCAUUCAUGCUGAUUCCAUCUAGGUGCAAAAUGUUUUAAAAUACAUUUAGAAGAUAAAUAUUCUAUUUCUAAGAAUUUUCUAGUUUUUUCUAGAAUUUAAUUCCUACUCCCCUUGACCUUAAUCUUUUUUAUUCGAAGUUCCAAAAAAAUCUUUUCAUGAGCUCUAAAUGCUUUGUUUGAGUUCCUCAUCCUUUAAUCCAUGUUGAGGCAAAAGUGGAUUUGCAAACACAAAGGGCUAAUACCCGAUUUUAACGUUAAGGCGUGCCAGCCGAUUUGACCUUACAACCGACAAAGGUGAUAACUCGAAUACUUUGGUCCCGACAACAGCGAUGCGCCCAGAUGCCACGGCCAAGAGGUAUUCACGCGGAACUUGAGAACUCGCCGAGUUUGACUCGAUGAAUUCCUAAGAACUCGUAAGUAAAAAGAAAAUAUGCGAGUUGACGAAGUCGUCGAAAGUAGAUGCUGGAAUAGAUGUAAAAACUUGUGUUUGAUUGAUUGUGAUUAUUUCUUACAUCGCUACUAAGUCUAUAUUUAUACCCUGUCUAAAGAAUUACAAUCAGGUACGACUAGGAUUUUAAUUUCAAACUAAACGAAAUUCGUAUACAAAACAAACUCUAAUAAUUAUGGAAAACAUUAAUUUAUCUACCCUAGGCGAUCGGCACACCACCAUCAUCUUCCCGACAAUUCCUAAGCCCUCUUCUACCAUUAUUGGCAUAUCAUCCUCCAUCGGCAUCGGCAACUGCCAACAUCAACCAUCGGCAGAGAUCAACCACCAUCCUUGGACUUGAUCAUAUCCUGCUGCUUUAUCAUCUGCAUCAUAAGCCAUCGGCAGCCAUCGGCAAUUUAUCUGUCACUCAAUCAUCACUUUCUCGCCUGCCGAUCCGAGUCCCAUUAACUGUUUAGAUACGUAUCAAAAACGGUGUCAACAAUCCAUUUCUAGGAUUUUUUUUCCUAGGGAUUUUCUAAGCUUCGGAUUAAUUUCGUGAUAUAAAUGGUGAUUCUAGAUUCUCUAGAAUUAUUUUUAUUUCAUAAAAUUAGUUAAUUUCGAAAUUAGAAAAACUCUAAGCCCAAAGUUUCAUCGACCCACGAAGCUCGUGUGCAAUAAUCCUAAAGAUAAUGGGAUUAAUCGAUCCAUUGGUUUGCAUCAAUAUAGACCUUUUGGCGGAGGUAGACGCUUUGCCCAUCUCGGUUAACACAUUUCGCCCAUCUGAGAAAAGAUUUCUUUAGUUGUGAUCGUGUCGAUUGCUAAGUGUUGUUACAUUAUCUAGCUGUGACGAUUAAUUACAAUGACAACACGAAUAUCGUUUACAUGUCUGAAACCACCAUGUUUAUCAUUGAGUGAAAAAGCACAAUGAGAUUAACAUUCACUUUCACUCCUGCAGUUGGGAACGCGGGGCUCUGCUCCCGGGCUAUCCACGUUAGUAAAAAAAUUUCAACCAUUUAAUCUCCGUUUAACGCCUUCGAUUUACUACAUCAUUGCCGACCGUGGUCGUUCUCCAGAAACUUCGUGCUUUUUCACGCACACACAUCAACGAAGGAGACCGCUGUAAAAUAUCUCCUCCUCCCUUCCGUCUCCUCUCCCCUUCCUCCGUCUCUCCCGUGUGACGAUGCAACGGCUGGGGUGGCGGCUCUCCGGUGUGGAUGGGGCACCAGCGGUUGCAGUCCUCCCUCCCUCUCUCUACUCUCUCUCUCACUCUCACUCGCUCCCUCCUCUCCCCGUGCACCGGCACACCAGCCGGCUCUUCCAAGGCGGUGGCGCACCAGCGGCGCUGGCGGGCGACCCCAAUGAACACGGCUGCCGGUCAUCCCCCGCUCCCCCUGCACAGUGUUCAUGCGGCUCUGAUUUUCCUCGAUCCGUCUGCUCCUGGUUUGCUCUCUCUCCCUCCUUACUCUAUAGUGAAUCUGCCAUAGCUUUGCAAUUUUGAAGCAAUUUAACCUUGAUCUUGGAGGUGCCACUGCCCCUUGUGUGCACGCUACAACAAACCUUAGCUGUUGUGCUCUUAAUUCUAUGCUUAUCUCAGCUGAUCUUCUCUCAUUGUACUUUGUGGAUAUGCUCUGCUGUGUUAAAAAAAAAUCCUUUCUUAAUACAGCUACCAUGGCAGUGACGUGAAAAGUUUUGCCUCACAUUUUGAUGCUCCAAUUAGGUUCCAAUGAACAUGACGUUUGUUGUAAUCUACAUGGUGGCCGUUUUGGGAAAGGAAAAAAAGGUGCGCUCUGUUUCUAGGCCAUCUUCCUAUAAUUAUGGAGUCAACCCUUCUUUUAUUGACAUACUUUUUAGAUUAAUAUACUUGGAGUCCAAUAUAUUCACAUAUCUAGGCAUACUCACUACUGGAUCCGGCUUCUUUGCCGAGAGCCGAGAGCCCUCGGCAAAGGCCUAAAAGCCCUCGGCAAAGACUUUGCCGAGGGCCAGAAACGCCCUCGGCAAAGCCUACGGCGCCGUCGAGAAACGUCAAUAUUGACGUCAUCUUUGCCGAGAGCCUUGCUGGCCGGCUCUCGGCAAAGAUUCUUUAUUUUUUUUAAAAAAGCCUUUGCCGAGAGCCUGGCUGUCUGGCUCUCGGCAGCGGCAGAGAGAGAGUAUCACUAUUGUGAUUUAGGUGUACAACCACCCACUGCUUACCUGCUACGUCCGUGCGGGCAGCGGCCGUCGGGCCUCGCAGCGUCCAUGCGGCGUCCGUGCGGGCAGCGGCCGGGGCUCCUGCGGCGUCCGUGCGGCCGCCGGCGUCCUGGGCUGCUGCGGCCGGCGGCGGCUCCGGCGACGCGACGUCCUGCGGCCGGUGGCCUCCUGCGUCCGUGCGGGAUGCGGCGAGCCGGGGAAGGGCGGGCUAGGGGCGGGGGCGGGGGCAGUGUGGACCGGCGGCGCGCGGCAGAUUUGGGCGGCGGCGCGCGGGCUAGGGGCGGGGGCGGCGGCGGCGGCGGGCUAGGGGCGCCGGGUGCAGCGGCGCUGCGGACUUGGGCGCGUCUGUUUAGGGUUGGGACUUGGGCGCGGGCCGGGGUUGCGCCGGGUGGGGAUAAGGAUAUUUUCUUUUUUUUAAAAAAAAUACCCUUUGCCGAGAGCCACAGAGACAGGCUCUCGGUAAAGAAACAGGUUUUUUUUUAAAAAAACCUUUGGCGAGAGCACGAUGCGGCUGGCUCUCGGCAAAGACGUUUUGCCGAGAGCAAGAAGGGCAGGCUCUCGGCAAAGACACUUUGCCGAGAGCCAGAUGUGCAGGCUCUCGGGAAAGAGGUAUUUGACUUUUUUAUUCUUUUUUUAUUUUAGACCCGAGUUUUUUUUUGUGUCCUUGUCACUCAAUUUCUAAAUACAUUUCAAAAUUUAGCAUCAAUUUGACUUUAUUUGCUAUAUUUAACUAAUUAAUCUUGUUUCUUUAAAUUUUUUCACGUAAUUCAAAUUUGAACUACAGGUAUAUGGAAUAUUGGAACUCAGUGAUUCAAAAAAUAAUAGUCAAGAUAUUUGUUGUAUGUUGAAGUUGUAUCCACAACCACACAUAAAAUCUCAACCCUUUCGCAGACAUAACAUGUCGAGGAAUGUGAGGGAAAAGUGUUUUUUAAUUAUAUAAAUUCCAAAUGAAGUCCAAAAAUCACGAAACUUAGCGACGUGUCGUGUUAUCGCAUGUGGAGGCUGUGUUAAAAAAUUCAUAAGAUUUUGAGCAAGUUGCAAUGCCGGAUGUCUAAAACCUAGACAUCUCCACAUGUGAUCAAAUAUGAUCACAUGCGGAGAUAUUUGGAUUUUAGACAUCCGGAGUCGCAACUUACUCGAAACUUUAUGAGUUUUUUACCACAACAUCCACAUACGAUAACAAGACAUGUCACUAAGUUUUGUGAUUUUUGAAGUUCAUUUGGAAUUUAUAUAAUUAAAAAUCACAUCAACGACACAUGGAUGGUUAUGUUUCGUAUAAAAGACAUUCAAACUUUUGGGUGAGUUUAUGGAUAUAGCCUCAAAAUACACUCUCAAACAUGAGUACCAUUUUUCGAAUGGCUAUAUUUUAUUAUUUCAUGCACCUGCAGUUCAAAUUUACUUUUUCAAAAAAAUGCAAAGAAAAUAAAUGAAUUGAUGAAAUAUAGCAAAAUGUUAUAAAAAGCUCCCAAAUUUUAACAUGUGCUUGUAUAUAAUAUGCAAGGGCUAUAGAAAAAGUCUAGGCACAAAAGUCAAAAAAAAAACUUCAAUCUUUGCCGAGGGCAAGUGCUAGCCCUCGGCAAAGGGGGGUCUUUGCCGAGAGCCUGCAGUUGCCCUCGGCAAAGGUCACCUCUUUGCCGAGAGCCUAACGGCACGGCUCUCGGCAAAGGUGACGACUACGGCAGCCGUUCACGGCACGGCAUCUUUGCCGAGGGCUUGCCUUUGCCGAGAGGUUAGCUCUCGGCAAAGCUGACCUUUGCCUAGAGCCCCUCUUUGCCGAGAGCCUGGCCGUCGGCAAAGGCUCUUUGCCGAGAAGAUGACAGGGCUCUCGGCAAAGGCUGUCUUUGCCGAGGGUCUAGCUCUCGGCAAAGCCGGACUCUCGGCAAAGCUCGCGUUUCCUGUAGUGACUCUGAAUUUUGCUACCUGUAUUAUUAAAACUUUUGAGUCCUCACAAAUUGAGUUCCGUUUUUACUCAGAAAUUUGUAAAUUUCUGAUAUGAUGGUAGUAAUUAUUAUUAAAAGUUUUAAUAAUGUUUCAAUAAUAUUUGCAUAAUGUUGUCUGCUCUCAAAGCAUGCCUCUUACUAUACACGAACUGCAUGUUACACACUUCCCAGUUCACUAAACCAACUAUCACUAUGCGCUUGGUGUCGUGAUGUUUACUAUAUUUUGAUUGAUGAAUAAUAGUCCCAUUUCAGACAAUGGGCAAACUAUUCCUCGGUCUCCUGUUAUUGAUUCCUAACAAGACUAUAACAAGUACUUGGUAAGCGCUAUGCUCCUGCAGUAUUAUUUCUCUCAACUCAACUCCCUUUCCAGCUGUAUGUAUUGUUGUUGUAUCCAUUGGUUACUCAUAGCUUCUUUGUUCUUUCUUUCUAGGCAUCAUAUUCCUGCAAUCCUCAACGAUUCCUGUUGGUGGACCUAUGCUUACUCAUAGCCUCUUUGUUCUGGUAUUCCAUUUUUUGGGAUUCCAUAUGUUACUAUUCUUCAUUGCCUUCAACCAUUUGUUGACUCAUGUGAUGUGUGCCUCAUUGACUUUGAUCUGAUGAUCUUGCCAUUAGUCAUUUUCCAUUUUACCCCUUAAUCAGCCUAUGAUGAAAAUUUGGUAUCCAUUGCUCAAGGAUAUAAUCUGAUGUUGAUUCUCUUGUGAGGUACUGGGCAUGUCCUGUUAUUUACAUUAUAGAAUUUUUGAGAAUAACCCAUUUGUCAAAUGCCUUGGAGCUCCAAGUUGAUGAAAAAAUGAUGAUUGACAUAUUACUGAGGCCUCUAAGAAUCCUGUCUUCAUUGAAAAAAAAUGUUUUUCAUUGCUCCAACAGAAAUAGAGUUUUAAGUCAUAAGGGGUACCAUCAUAUGGUCAACCAAAACCAAGUUUUAAGUUGACCUCAUCUUACAUGCUGCAACAAGUGGCCCUUAAGCAGUCCUGGGCUCCCUGUACCUUGGCAGAAAGUGAUUUAUUUGCUCUACAUUCUUAACUUACCCACAAUAUGAUUAACCUCUUCCCUUCGCUUAUACCUUUCUGUACUGUUUUCGUACAUCUAUGCUCCUUAUCUUUGUUGGAUGAGCAUUUUUUACUCUUAUUUACUAUGCCCUUUUGUUGUGCUACAUUAUUUUAAGAUUAUUUUGUUCAUGCCUUCCCAGUGUUGCUUCAUCUUUCCUCUAUAUGUUAUUACUUUUGUCUUGACUUGCAAACUUUGCUCUAAGAUCUGAUGACCGUUGAGGGCCGCUCGGGAGUCGACCCCGAGGACACGGCGGUGACCCAGCUAGUUUCCCGUGGAGUCCGGCAACGCUGUGACGAUGACAAAGCAGAUCGUGAUGUCGGUGUCGAGUUCCAACGCGUGGGUUUCGAUCUCUGGCGACAAUUUCUUUAUGUGGAAUAGUCACGCAAUGGAGGAAGGAACUUUGGGUCUGGCUGCAGUAUUGCUGACGUUAAGCGGCGCGUUUUCUACUCAGUACGUGCGACAUUGAAACAAUUAAUAAGAGAACCCUAGCCGCCACCCCCUAUUCCUUCUCGCCUUCGUAUGCCAAGGUUCUGCACAAAGGCAUGGCGGCGGCAGGUGCGGGUGCGGGCAAUGGCAACUCUAGAGGUGCUUCUAGCGGGAGAGGUUUUGGAGGUGGUCACGGUGGAGGAUGCUUAGGAGGAGGAGGAGGAGGUGCUGUGCGCGGUGGUCGCCAGGGUUACGGUGCUAGGUACGACUACAAUCACCAUAUAUAAUGAAGAUGGAGCGCACUUCUCUGGACAAUCUCGGGGUCCAUCCACCAAAUUAUGGUCUUGGAUGGGAGUUUGAGCGGGGAAGAAGAGGUAGAUACGAAGGUUUUGGAUCACAUGGAGGGAAUGGUGGGUACCGUCAAGUUCGCAAUUUCCAGCUACCACGGAUACCGGCUCAAGCCUCUUUGCAGCAACGGGUGGCACCGCAGCAUCUUGUGCCACAGCAGCAUCAGCCUCAGGCGGCACCGCAAGCAGCUUCAGUCGCAACAGCAGGUGCGACAAGUGCAUCAGUAGGCACAGCACCAAAUGCUGCCAUAGCAAUGCUAUUUUGGUGUUAAUGUAAUUAUUAAGCAAGGUCCGGAUCUAGCUAUAUAUAGUCUUUGCGUUGGAGCUAAGAUAUUAGCCGGUGAUACGACAAAGUAGCUUAUAUCAGCUGGUGAUUGAUCGAUCAUCACGCGUACGUACAUCUACAAGAAGUAAUACAUACAUACAUACAUACAUACAUACAUACAUACAUACAUACAUACAUACAUACAUACAUACAUACAUACAUACAUACAUACAUACAUACAUACAUACAUACAUAGUUAUUGGGUUACGAGAAACAAAUAAUAAACAUGGCUGCCUCGAACUCAUGCAUAGCCAUUCCAUUACUAGUUCAGAAGCAGCAAAUUAAGCAUUCAACUGUCUGCAUAUUACAGUGAUGGACGCAAAUUAAACAUGGCUGUGCCUCGCGCCUUACUAACAAAUGCAAAUCGAUCGAUCGAGAUUCAGUAGAGAGAGAGACACACACACGCACACGCACAACUACGAGAGAUCGAGACUGCAAGCUAAUGAACCCAAGACACCUAACUACCACUAGGACCGGCGAAAAUCCAUCGAUUCGUCCAUCGAUGAGCUGAGGACGGAUCGAAGAACAUACUACACACAAGAAAUUAACUAAACAAAGGCAACACAAUAAGAACUCAGGUCGAAACUAACAAGUACUACUACUCCGAUCCAGCAGACUGCUGCUGCGAUUCGGAGGCAGGCAGGCCAGGCAUGCAAAGCUAGCUAGCUACUGGUACGUACGUACGGUGCUUCCAUUCCAUGCAUGGACAUGGAUCUGUCGUCGUCGUUGCUGAUGGAGAUUGUCGGACUUCUCGAUGAUGAUGAUGAUGAUGAUGAUGAGGAGGAGGAGGACAGAGGUCGAAGGACGGAGGUCGAAGGAGCUAGGUCUUGCUAGCUCAUGCCUUUGUUGGAGGGGCUGGGGCUGGGCACGCCGGGUCGCGGACGAUCAAGCCGCGUGCGUAGGGUAUGAUGUAUCUGCCCUCCUUGUCCUUGGGCAUCCAGGCGCUGGCGUUGACGAAAGGGUCCGCGGUGUACUGCGCCGCCUCACUGCAGUUGGUGACGACACGCACGGCGGUGGUGUUGAUGCGGCGGCUCGUGUCGGCGCCAGGCCCGUAGUUGGCGUACUCCAGAUACACCACCGUGUCUGGAAUGUGGCCGCUGCUCCGGUUCCACUCCACCCAGCCGGUGAAGUUGACGAUGGAGCUGAGGAAGGUCUCCAUGAAGAUGACAUGGGAGUGUUCCUUCCACGGACGGCCGAGGAAGGUCUCCACCCCUGUGAGGUUUGCACCCUCGUCGGCGGUGACCGAACAGUUCUGGAAGGAGAAUCCAGAUCUAUCCAAGGGGUUGCUACGGCCCUGCGCGGUGACAACAUUGUGAGCGCCGGGUUUGCUGGCGCCGGAGCUGCGAACCAGUAGCCGACAACCUUGGAAGGCCGCCCUGGCGUAUCCAAACACAAAAUCUAUUGUGCCACGGAUGUCUGUCUCCAAAUAGAUCUGGUCUCCAGUGUCUGCAUUGAGGGUAUCUUGAUAGCCCUCGAUGGAGCACCGGUACACCAGGGAGAAGUGUGACCUCGACAUCAAUGCCACGGCCUGCAGACCCUCCGGGCCUGCAGUGUUUUGGAUGGUCAGAUCCUGGGCCAUGAAUCCCAUCCCAUGAACACCUGCAUCAGGCGCAACAGCAAAGUCAACAAACAUGCAUAUGCGCAUGUGAUUGUAUUAUUGUUCUGACGUGAUUGAAAGGGCGAUCGGCACUUACUCACGGUAGCAGUGUCCGGCGUGCUGAGGUUGUCAAACCGGUGGCUCUUGUUCCCGGUGAUCACCGUCUUUCCGGCGCCUUCUCCGAUCAGGAUCACAUGCUUCCGGGUGAUAUUUAGAGUCUCAUUGUACACUCCCUGCUUGAUGAAUACGGUGAGAAUGCUUUGCUCACUGCCAAUUUGGUCCUCUUGCGCCGCCAAAGCAGCGGUGAUGCUGGCCCGUCGCCGCUGGUGGCGUUCUUGGCAACGAAAACAUGUGUCGUCCCCACCAUGUUUGCGAGCGAUGGCGGCGCUCCGCCCAGGGCCAGCAGAUUUACGUAGUAGUAUGAUCCAUCGACCUCUUCUACACCCUCUCGAUACGGCCUGACGACUGCACACCUACUACUAUGGCUAUCCAGAAACUAGAUACCCCUAAGGUAGCCGGUUCUCCUUUUCUUUUAUAGGGGGAAGUUAAAGUGUGUCUCCUACUAAAUUCACUCAAACUUGAGAUAUUUCGAUUUUAUAAGAUUCUUAAAAUAACUUAUAAUUUAGGAUGAAAGGAGUAAUUAAUAAUUUACUGCAAAAUUCAUCGCCAUCACAUUUUUUUUAAAAGAAAAGGUAUUUUGCACGUCUUUGAUAACCUUUCUUUUAAGCCUUUUCACUUAGCAAGCUAUUAUUACUACUCAAAAAGCUAAGACAUCAAUAUUAUUAUGUAUAUAAAUUAGAGGUUGUUUUACUUUAUUUCCAUUACACAUUAUAGUCUUCGAUCCGUUCGUUCCUUCGGUUAUUUUCAGACAGAGAGAAUAAUUGCAUAAUUCCCCUCUCUCUCUCUCUCCUAGUCUCAUUUUUUAAUCAUACCCAUUAGGGAUGUUGUUGAGGAUUCUUGAUGUCUAAAUAAAGUUAAGCUCCGACAUUUGUCUCCUUUCGAGUCUCCCAAAAGAUGCAUGAGUGGAGUUAGACUUCUCAUCGCUUUCCACAACGCGUGUUGCAAUAUGUCUAAGAUGUUUAAUUUGUGCACCACUAUACACUAUUAAGAGCCUAGGGCUUCCAAUAGUUAUAGGAAGCCCUAGCCGAAACACCAGUUGAUCCGACCAAACCAGCUAGUCACUCAGCAACCCGCCUUGGCCCAUCCCAGCUCACCUACCUUGCCGGCCCAUCCAUCACAGUAUAUAAAUUGGGCACCUCCAAACCCUAAUCACGAGAUGCCCUCGUCCAGCCACCAGCCCACCACCGGCCAUCCACCCCCACUUGCCUCGACCGCCGACCACCGGCGGCCCUCCCCACCCACAGCGAGCGUCGUUGGCCCCCUUCCCUAGAUCUGCGCUCCCUGGAUAUGACGACGUGGAGGCGACAACCUCUAGGACCUAUUCUCAACCCGGCAUACAACAAGAUGGUUGCGGUGGCCGGGACACAAGCGGCGGCGCUGCACCUCCCCAUGAGCGCACCCCUACCGCCCCUACGAUGCCGCGGCGGUGUCCUUCCCAACCACAGCGACACCCUUCCCACCCCUGGCGGCUCCCCACCAUCCACAGCACGCCCCCAUCAUCCACGGUGAGAUCCAUAGAGGUGGCCACGGUAGCUGCCUCCCCACCAUGGCAUAAUCCAUGGAGGCAGCCACGACCAUCCCCUACCCCGACGACAGUCCAUGGAGGACCUCCCCACCAUCCACCGACAAGAUCCAUCCACCCUAGUGGCUCCCUCUGACCCUAGUCGAGGCUCGACUGCGCGGUGGCGUAAGCCAACGGUACGCGGACCGCAUGCAUGCAUUCGUGCGGGCCGCAGGGGUGUGUAGCUCUGGCCUCUCAGCGCACCUCCUCGCCAUGGCACACAGCGGCAUCCCAACACCCCCUCCAUGGCUUGGUAAGCAGAGGCAUGUGGGUCCUCCUGAGCAAGAUCUGGUGAGCAUCCACGCGAAUCUCCGGCCAAGGGCGGCGUGGGUGAUAGUUGAGGAUUUUGCCUCACCUCUCCCAGCAGCGGUGACAGUCCCCAAACACCUGCGAUGGUGCCUCCUCACAAUUUCAUAUUCCUUUUUUCUUGUCAACAUCCUCACAGCUAAGAGAUUGAUUAUAUUUUUUCUAAUUUCGAAAUUAACUAAUUUUAUGAAAUAAAAAUAAUUCUAGAGAAUCUAGAAUCACCAUUUAUAUCACAAAAUUAAUCCGAAGCUUAGAAAAUCCCUAGAAAAAAAUCCUAGAAAUGGAUUAAAGGAUGAGGAACUCAAACAAAGCAUUUGGAGCUCAUGAAAAGAUUUUUUUUGGAACUUCGAAUAAAAAAGAUUAAGGUCAAGGGGAGUAGGAAUUAAAUUCUAGAAAAAACUAGAAAAUUCUUAUAGAUAGAAUAUUUAUCUUCUGAAUGUAUUUUAAAAUAUUUAGAAUGUUUAUCUUCUAAAUGUAUUUUAAAGGCGCCAGGGACCGCGGGUUAGAUAAGAGAGAAAGAGAGGGACUCUUUAGCAAGAUUGACCCCGAAGGGGUAUCUUCUAAUUUUGGCCGUUGAUUCAAGAUCCUACGGCCCAAAUCUGCUAAGGAUGAUGGAGAGGGGUGACAACCGUCCGGCUACAGGGCACCGACGGCGGCGCCAUUGCCGGAGAGCUUGGAGCCUCGUCGGAGUUGGUCGGGACGGCGUUCUAGUGCACCAAAUUCAAAUCCGAGAGCAUGGGGAGCAAGAGAGGGACGCCGCGAACUCACCAAGACCAAGAUAAAGGACGGGGACAGCUCGGAGAGGUGAGACCACGCGGUGUGGCGGCUCGAUGCUCCUGCAGAGGGUUCGGCGAGGACUUAGGAGCAAAAGAUCGUGCUAGAGUGUAAAAGGAAGGGCUAGGCAUGUUCGUCACCUCAAUCCGAAGCUGGGCACGGUAUCGAUUUUGUUGACACGGCCAUGGACAGAAAGUUCCACGGCGGCGGCAAUUGAAACACCUCGGCGAGAUCCGAGACGCGGUAGACCAGAGGCUAGGGCUCAGGCGAAGGCACGAUGAUGGGAAAAACGAGGGCGUGAAGAGGGAAUGGGAUUUUAUAGGAGCUUGAUGCGAGAGUUGGCAAGGAAUCCCGGGAAGAUCGGGAUUGGGGAUUCGCCUGUUAGCCAGAGACCGGCUUGGUCACAACGAGGAAGAAGGGGAGGGAGUCGCUGACCUAGGGGUCCCACCUGGCAGCGACUAAAUGGCGCGCGGCCGGUUUGCCAGAGAUGGGAGGUGGGAAGGCCAGCGCGCGUGCGGGCUCGCGCGUUCCUGGGCCACGCACUAGGCCGAGGCGAGGGGGAGACGGGAGGCGCGCCGUUGGGCCAGAGCCUGGGCCGCGCGUGGGGUGUGCUGGCCAACAGGCCGAGGGAAGAAAAGGAGAAGGGGAGGAUGGGGUAGGCCUUCGGCCAAAAUAGAGAGAGGGAGGUUUUCCCUUUUUUGUUUGUUUUCUUUUUGUUCCUUUUUAUUUCAAAAAUUUUUCAAAGCAGUUUUAAAUCAAUUUAAAAUAAUAUUUUGACUUUAACCAAGUUCACACAUUACAAUGAAAAGGAAUGCUCCAAAAUGAAUGCACAAACAAGUUGCUAAACCUAUGGUAAAUUUUAAUUAAAUGAAAAAAUAUUAUUUACCUAUGUUUUAUGAGCACAAAAAUUCAUAAUUAAAUCAUUUUAGCUCUAUUUCCCGUAAAACAAUUUUUAGGGUGUUACAAAGUUUCAUCUCAUGGAGAGGGUUUAACACGAUAAUAAAGUUAAUGUUUCUUCAUCCAACUACUAUUUUUUAUGCAACGUUGGUGCAAAAAUCUUUUUUACGCAUCUUGACUAUUUGAUUCUAUGCAUCCAAUCUGUAAUCACAUGCCAUGAUUCAAAUUUUAAAUUUAUGAAUUUUAAUUUUUUUAAAGAAAAUAUUCACAAUGGGUCUUGAAGCAUGCACAAAAAUGUGAGGAGUUCAAUGGUAAAAAUCGUUUUUGAAUCGGAUGCUUUAUUUAAGAAUAUAUUAUCGUGAAAAAUGGAAGAAAUUAGAUUGGUGCAUAUGUGUGUCAGCCUGUGUCAAGUGUUGUCAAGUGGAACAUCCAGCUCGUAGAUAGGUUUUUAUGCGAUAACACAUUAAUUUUAAUUCAUACAACCACAAGAUUUUAUGAAUUAUUGUGAUAAAAAUCUUUCUGUGCAGUCUGAUAUUAGAUUUUAUGCGUCUAAUUGAUUAGGUCCUGAAAGGGUCCUCCACCUAUGCGCGCGUUAGCUUCGUAGACAUUCUCAAACCGAUAAAUAAGUAUGAAUACAUACAUAAUGUAGUUUAUUGAAAGAUGAGAGUAAUUACUCCCGGUAUGCAUGCAUUAUUGUCUCUUACACUAUAUAUAUAUAUAUAUAUAUAUAUAUAUAUAUAUAUACACACACACACGUGCACGCCACACCAAUCGGCCGAUCGAGAGAGGGAUCCAAAACACAUAUUCCUACUGCAUGUCGUCAGCAUGCAUGCAUGGGAGGUGCGCGCGCGCAGCAAGGAAUAAUAAUAAUGAUGAUGUACGUAAUAAUGUAAAAAGCUAGCUAGCAGGCGGCCGUCUCGAUGGAUUGAUGGGUCGUCGAUCUCAGUCGUCUCUCCAUGCAUGCAUCCAUAGCUAGACCGACGUACAAGACUAGAUCAAGAGAGAAGGAAGCUAAGGGAGCUUAGCUAGUAGCCGAUCGAGAGAUCUAGUAGUUCUAGCAGAGCUCGAUCGCUGCUGGCCGGCCGGGACCAUGCUCUGUAUGCAAGCGGCAUCCCGAUCGAUCAGCCUUCCUCUUUUUCUCCAUCUCCCUGCUGCAGCUAGAGCUAGAGGGAGGAGGAGGAAUAUCGAUCGAUCGAUCAAUCGAUAUGCCCGCAUAUACUGUAUAAACGCAUGAUCGAUUGAUCAUCACUAGCCAGCCAGCCAGCACAGUACAGCAGGACCAUGCAUACGUUUGCCCGGCCGGGACUGAGGGAGAGGCCUAGCUUUGUUUAGAUCAAAAACGAUUUAGGUAUUGCAUGUAUCACUUUCGUUUGUAUUUGGUAAUUAGCGUCUAAUCAUAAAUUAACUAGGCUUAAAAGAUUUAAUCUAUAUAAUGCUUCAUGCAUGUGUCGCAAUAUUCGAUGUACCGGAAAAUCUUGAAAAAGUUUUUGAUUUCGAGGGUGAACUGAACAAGGCCAAUGAUGAAGAAUAUACUUAGCUAAUACAUAGUACGUACUAUACACACUACAUAUUACGAUCCUAUAUCCUAUCUACUUGAUGCAUAUAUAUGAUGUGUUCCUCAAUAGCUCUGCUGUCUCUCGUUGCAUUGCAUUGGUCUUCAACAUGGCGCUGAAUCGAAAAGAUUCGGAUCCGAGCUAGGGUUUGGGAGUAAUAGCUAGAGCGAGCUCUGCCAGCCAGCUGCACAUUGUCUCGAUUGACCGACCGAUCAGUCCCUUCAUCCAUGCAAGAUGGGCAUGCUGCUGUCUGCUGCAGCUACAGCCUACGGCUAGGGGGAUCGGAUCACUAGCUAGCUAGCUAGUACGUGCCUGCAGCCAGCACUAGAUAGAGGGAGAGAAAGUGUUAGGAGAUAUAAUUUUACACGAGAUAAACCUUUGGUUGGUGCGGCAAGGACUCCUAUAUUAGGAUAGUUAAACAUAGAAUCUUUGUAAUUUCUAAUUCAGGAGUCCUAGCCUAAAUCACAUAUAUCUGUAAUAUUGGUUCUAUAUAAACACGGACCCUAUGGUGAGCCAAGUUAGGCAACCAUAGUUACUCCAUAUUCUUUCAUGGUAAUCAGAGCCUCCUCUUCCUAAAACAGAUCCACAAAUAAAUCUCGUCGACAUCCUAUCGCAACAAGAGGGCCGCGACGCUCUGCGAUCGUGACGCCCCUCCUCGCGAUGUGAAGACCUACGACCGCCGAUCGUGACGGUCUUCCUGUUGCAGUCAAGAUGGCGUCGUCCUCCUCGCAUCACGACGCAAGAUCAGCCUUCAGACACCCGGUGUCGGACAAACUGACCCGGAACAACUUCGUUCUAUGGAAGACCCAGUUCCUCCCGGCUGUUCGUGGUGCCAAGGCGCUAGGCAUCUUGGAAGGUACCACACCUGAACCGCCGCAGGAACUGGAAGCUGACGUCGACGGCAAGAAAAAGAAGAUUCCCAAUCCGGAGCAUGACUCAUGGGUUGAAAAAGAUCAGCAGCUACUUGGCUAUCUGGUUAACUCGGUCUCCAAGGAGGUCCUAGCCGGAAUUACGACUGCAACGACCUCUGCCCAAGCAUGGAAGGCACUAGGGGUUAUGUUUGCAGCACAAUCACGAGCGCGAGUUACUAAUCUGCGCAUGCAAUUGGCCACCGUCAAGAAGGGAGACCUCACAACGGUGGAAUACUUCAACAAAAUUCAGAACAUCAAAGACGAACUUGCUUCAGCCGGCGUCACCAUUAAUGAUGAUGAGGUUGUUGCUCAUAUGCUUAAUGGAUUAGAUUUUGAUUAUCAUCCGUUUGUGUCCUCUAUGAUGGGUCGUUCAGGAGAUCUCUCGCUCUCUGAACUUUAUUCCCUUUUGAUGGAAUAUGACCUUCGGCUGGAGAUGUAUCAAGGAGCAGAACAACACCAGUCCUCGGCCAAUGUGGCAUCCCGAGGACGUGGGAACCGUGGGCGCUCUGGAGGUCGUCGUGGUGGCGGCAGAUCCAAUCUAGGGCGUCCAGGACAGAGCAAUCAGAACUUCAGCAAACAAGGCAAAAAUCAGCAAAGCAACCAGAAACAGCCGUGUCAAAUUUGUAGGAAGGAUAAUCAUGAAGCCAAGCAGUGCUACUUCCGCUACGAAGAAGAUGAUCAAUACCGUGGCAGGCCUUCUGCAGCUUAUGGUAUUGACACAAAUUGGUAUGCUGAUAGUGGGGCUACAAAUCAUGUGACUGGCGAAUUGGAAAAACUCUCAGUCCGAGAUCGGUAUAAUGGGAGUGAUCAAGUCCAUACUGCUAACGGUACAGGUAUGCAAAUUAGUAAUGUUGGUCAUACAAUUGUUCAUACCCCUACCAGCAAUCUUUUUCUCAAUAAUAUUCUUCAUGUUCCAAAUGCAACCAAGAGUCUCGCUUCCGUUCAUAAAUUGGCCAAAGAUAAUAAUGCCUAUCUUAAAUUUCAUCCGGAUUUUUUUGUUAUCAAGGACAAGGACACGAAGAAGAUUCUGUACCGCGGUAGAUGUCAAGGUGGCCUCUAUCCUCUUUCAUCUGGCACGUCUUCCCAAGGACAGAGGCCGAAUCCAGAAGCUCUUGCUGCCCAUAUGCCAUCUACAUCUCUUUGGCAUAGUCGUCUUGGUCAUCCUGCUAUCCCCAUAGUUCAGAAGAUUAUCAGUUCAAAUAGUUUGCCGUGUGCUAGUGAUAAAAGUGUGGAGUCAGUUUGUGAUUCGUGUCAGCGGGCCAAGAGCCGUCAGCUUCCCUAUCCAGUGUCUAAUAAAAUUUCUAGUUCUCCUCUUGAGUUAAUUUACUCUGAUGUGUGGGGACCUGCUCCUACCUCUGUUGGACGUCAUAACUACUAUGUUAGCUUCAUCGAUGACUACUCCAAAUUUACCUGGAUUUAUCUUCUUAGACACAAAUAUGAAGUUUUUAAGGUUUUCCAAGACUUUCAGCAACUAGUAGAGCGAAAAUUUUCUAGAAAAAUUCUAUGCAUUCAAUCUGAUUGGGGUGGAGAAUAUGAAAAACUCAACUCCUUCAAGAAAAUUGGUAUUAGCCACCGCGUCUCUUGUCCUCAUGCUCAUCAACAAAACGGCGCUGCUGAGCGCAAGCAUCGUCACAUAGUAGAGGUUGGCCUUGCUCUCCUUGCAAAUGCAUCUAUGCCCUUGAAAUUUUGGGAUCAAGCUUUCCUCACUGCUACAUACCUUAUUAAUCUUCUCCCGAGCAAGGUCGUUAAUUUUGAGGUCCCUAUUAUUCGACUUCUUGGUGAGACGCCUGACUAUUCCAACUUGCGCGUGUUUGGUUGUGCCUGUUGGCCUAAUCUUAGACCAUACAAUUCGCGCAAAUUAUCUUUUCGCUCUACGCAAUGUGCUUUCCUCGGCUAUAGUUCCAUGCACAAAGGUUUUAAGUGCCUUGAUAUAUCCACUGGCCGCAUCUACAUAUCACGUGAUGUAGUCUUUGAUGAAGCUGUUUUUCCCUUUGCUGCCCUUCACUCAAAUGCUGGUGCUCUUCUUCAAAAAGAAAUUAUUUUGCUCCCUCCGUCUCUUCGCAAUCCAGGGGAUGACAAUUGCUAUGACUUCAACAGUACUAAUGCUACUAAUGUGCCUGAUGCUUCUACUGUGCCACAGGAAAAUUCUAGUGCUUCAUCUUCAGAAUGUCUUCCGCAGUUUUGUUUUCCAGCUCCUUCGGGUCUUCCUGGUACAGCACAUCAAAUUCAUGCAGAUCCGGGCAUGGUUUCCAUGUCCGGUUCACCUGCGUAGGGGGGGGGGCUCGGGAUCACCGGCAAUAGAGGCAACAGAAGAAUCCGUGCCUGGCACUCAUGAAAACUCCCGCUCGAUGACCUUACCGACAGAUGAUCAGGCAGUUGUUCCAGUUCCGGAGGAUCAGCCCAGAUCCUCUAUGUCUCUCGGAUUCAGUCAAUCAAUGCCUGUUUCAGAUGAGACCGAGCCCUCUGGUGCCCCUUCGGCGCUGCCGUCUGCACCUGAGCCUCAACGACCAAAGACUCGCCUGCAAAGUGGGAUUGUGAAGCCCAAACGUAUGUACGACGGUAUGAUUCGCUACAGUUUUUUUAGUACGACUGGAGAACCAAAUUCAGUUCAAGAAGCUUUAGCUAAUUCUAAAUGGAAACAAGCAAUGGAAGCAGAAUUUGAUGCACUCAAGAAAAAUAAAACUUGGCGUCUAGUGCCAAGUAAAUCAGGACAGAAUAUAAUAGAUUGCAAGUGGGUGUAUAAAAUUAAACGAAAGGCCGAUGGAAGUAUUGACAGAUAUAAAGCUCGUUUGGUAGCAAAAGGGUUUAAGCAGAGAUAUGGCAUUGACUAUGAAGACACUUUUAGUCCAGUUGUCAAGAUUGCAACUGUGCGGCUGGUACUUUCAAUUGCUGUUUCAAGGGGAUGGUGUCUAAAACAACUAGAUGUGCAGAAUGCGUUUCUUCAUGGCGUUCUGGAAGAGGAAGUAUAUAUGAAACAACCACCUGGAUUUGAAAGUGACGAGACUCCUCAUUAUGUGUGCAAACUGGAUAAAGCUAUUUAUGGGCUUAAACAGGCGCCUAGAGCCUGGUACUCCAGGUUAAGCAAUAAAUUAAUUUCUCUUGGCUUUGUGGCGUCUAAAUCAGAUACAUCUUUGUUUAUUUAUAACAGAGGUGGUAUAAUGAUCUACAUUCUCAUUUAUGUUGAUGACAUUAUUGUUACAAGCAAUGAUCCUAAAGCGGUAACAGCUCUCCUUGCUGACCUUCGUGAAGAUUUUGCCUUAAAAGAUCUUGGGAUGCUUCAUUACUUUCUGGGCAUUGAAGUCAAAGAAGAGCAAGGGGGUAUUACUCUCUCCCAAGGAAAAUAUGCACAAGAUUUAUUGAAACGUGUUGGUAUGGCCGAUUGCAAGCCAUGUACUACUCCCCUCUCGGCUUCAGAAAAGCUAUCAAGCUAUGAAGGUACACCGCUAAGUUCAGAAGAUGGUACUCGUUAUAGAAGUGUUGUGGGUGCACUCCAAUAUCUAACCAUCACCCGGCCGGAUUUAUCAUAUGCUGUAAAUCGGGUUUGUCAAUUUCUACAUGCUCCAACUACUAUACAUUGGACUGCUGUGAAAAGGAUACUAAGAUAUAUAAGGUAUACGAUCAAAAUGGGUUUGCAUAUCCAUAAGGCAGCGGUUCCUUCUCUCAGUGCUUUCUCAGAUGCGGACUGGGCAGGUGACGUGGAUGAUAGGCGCUCUACAGGAGGAUUUGCGGUCCCAAUUUAAUUUCAUGGAGUGCAAGGAAACAACCUACAGUUUCUCGGUCCAGUACUGAAGCAGAGUAUAAAGCCAUGGCAAAUGCAACAGCAGAGUUGAUUUGGCUUGAACAGUUGCUAACUGAGCUUGGUAUUAAGCUGCGUCGACCUGCAAUUUUAUGGUGUGAUAACUUGGGUGCAACUUAUUUAUCUGCUAAUCCAGUUUUUCAUGCCAGAGCUAAACAUAUAGAGAUUGAUUUUCACUUUGUCAGAGAACGAGUUUUGAGAAAACAAUUGCAGGUUCGGUUUAUAUCUACAAGAGAUCAGUUAGCAGAUGGGUUCACUAAGGCGCUUCCUGUAGCUAAGCUAAGAGAUUUUGUACACAAUCUCAAUCUUACAAGUGGCUGAAAGUUUCGAUUGAGAGGGGGUGUUAGGAGAUAUAAUUGUACACGAGAUAAACCUUUGGUUGGUGCGGCAAGGACUCCUAUAUUAGGAUAGUUAAACAUAGAAUCUUUGUAAUUUCUAAUUCAGGAGUCCUAGCCUAAAUCACAUAUAUCUGUAACAUUGGUUCUAUAUAAACACGGACCCUAUGGUGAGCCAAGUUAGGCAACCAUAGUUACUCCAUAUUCUUUCAGAAAGAAGAAGAAGAAGAAGCACCAGCAGCUAGGUAGCUACUAUUACUACAGUACUCCUCCCUCGUCCUAGUAGCUUCUGACUCGAUCGCGACUGAAGAUCGAUGAUAAUUGACCCACAGCAGCAAGACGACGACGGACGCAGCAGCACUUGAGAGCUACUUGCUACGUAGGCGCAAGCUAGCUAGCAGCUGGUGUUGGUAUUUCUCUGUGGGUGUACCUAGAACCCGACAGAAAAAAAGUCAUAAUUUUCUUGUCGGUUUGGCUAGCACCAGUAGGAGAAUCUUAGUUUCUAGUAGAGUGUCGAGUGAUCGCUGAUGUUCCUGACGGCGAAAUCGCCAUACUCGGGCGAGAGCACCACCUUGUCCACGCUCUGAGUGCUCCAGCGUGCACAUUGGAGUCGCAGCCGCGCCCACAGGAAUGGUGUACUCCGAUCCGGCCAAAUCGAGAAGACGAUGAUCAUUAACCUCUCAUUCACACACACGCAUGCAUCCCCAAAAUGGCACUUGAUCGAUGAGAUGAACUAACUAAAAGACACUUAAGUGCAUUAAUUGUGAGGUAGUCCAGAUAUUCAUGAGAUCGAUCGUUCUCCAUGGAUGCAUGCAAUGCAAGGAGAGCCAACAAAGGCAUAUCCUAAUUAAGCCAAGCCUGCAAAAAUAGACGUACGGUGCUGACUUAAUUACCUAAUAAUAAUAUAUAAGUAAGGUCCGAAGAAGGAAGGUAUAUAUAUAUAUAUAUGCUCUCAUUCAUAAAGAAUUCAUCAUCAUUAUUCCCUCCAAUAUAAUUAACCAACAACACGAUCGAGUAGCUAGCUAGCCACCCACCGUACCAUGGCUUCUUCUUCCUCCUCCAAUCAUAGCUUCCUGCUGCUGCUUUUAUUCCCUCUCCUGCUGGUGCUGCUCCUCUCCACAACGGUCGUCGCCGCCGAUUCUACAGCUACAGCAGAAAAGUACCAGAAGUGGUGCCAAGUAGCAUCAGAUUCUCCGUCGUGCGUCAAGGUGAUUGAGUCCAUCCCAGGAAUCCAGGAGGUCGAUUACAAUAACGCCGGCAAGGUCGCCGACUUGUGCUUGCAUUUUGCUGCCAAUAAGACAAAGGAGGCCAAGGGAGCUGCUGACACCUUGCUUGCCGCAGAAAAAGGCAAGCCUGCUUCCGGUUGCCUCAAGGCCUGCGCCACCAACAUCAAAUCAAUGGCCGAGGUAUUGGUCAAUCUUCCUGCUGGGCAGGACGACAUGAACGCCUAUCAAACCUAUAAGGAGGUCAGAGCCAAGUUCAAAAACGAGAAACCACCAGCCUGCGAGAAGGACUGCUGGAACAAGACGUCAUCGUCGUCAUCUUCAGCCGCCGACAUCGUGGACAAGUUCCAUGAUAUCUGGAAUGUGGCCAAAGUUGGGAAUAUGCAGAUUAAUUAUAUCUUUCCUUGGCCAGAUAGCGACGACGACGAUAACAUCCUUUAAUUUAAUUUAGGUACGUCUGCAGGGCAUGUACGUACGAUAUAUGACCAUGCAUGGUGUGCCAUGUGAGACCAUGCAUCACAUUACUAGCUAUUAUUUGUAUGCUUUAAUUUCUUCUUUUUAUUUUGUUUGAUUUGAAGGCAUGCAUGGUCGAUCUUGGCCACGCACCCAAUCUUUGGCAUGUUAUUGUAAAAUGGUAAUAAGUUGUGCUAUUUCUUGCAACAAUGUGUGUUAUAUAUGUUUAAUGUUGUAUUUAUAUCUAUUGCAACGUUAAGGGGACAUAUAUAUAAUUAAUAUUAACUACACGCACCAUCUCCGAGUCUCCUCCAGAUUGUUUAAGAUUUCAACGCUCGCUUCUGUGUCAAUACGAGAACAAUCAAGGCUUCCUACGUGAAGUAUCGAAGCUUUAUAUAGAAUGCAACAAUAUAUAUAAUAGGCUCUUUAACGACUAACAUAUAUAUGUCAACAUUUAGAUGCAUCCUAUUGGCACCCUAAGAUUUCCGAUUGCAUGGCAUUUCUCAACAUUGUAUACCUUUUCCUUCCCGUCACAUUAUUGUGUGAACGUUUUUUUGUCUCCAUGUGUAUCUUGGGCUGUGAAUAGAAAACACUAAAUCAAAAUAAACUAUAUGUUAUGAUUAUUUUUAUAAAACUUGCAAGAUUUAUUUAUUUUGUUAUCAAUUUAAAAGAGUGAAAAUAUGGGUUCAUGUAAGUGAUUUGUUGCAUUCAUGCCGAUUCCAUCUAGGUGCAAAAUGUUUUAAAAUACAUUUAGAAGAUAAAUAUUCUAUAUCUAAGAAUUUUCUAGUUUUUUCUAGAAUUUAAUUCUUACUCCCCUUGACCUUAAUCUUUUUUAUUCGAAGUUCCAAAAAAAUCUUUUCAUGAGCUCCAAAUGCUUUGUUUGAGUUCCUCAUCCUUUAAUCCAUUUCUAGGAUUUUUUUUUCUAGGGAUUUUCUAAGCUUCGGAUUAAUUUCGUGAUAUAAAUGGUGAUUCUAGAUUCUCUAGAAUUAUUUUUAUUUCAUGAAAUUAGUUAAUUUCGAAAUUAGAAAAACUCUAAGCGCAAAGUUUCAUCGACCCAUGAAGCUCAUGUGCAAUAAUCCUAAAGAUAAUGGGAUUAAUCGAUCCAUUGGUCUGCAUCAAUAUAGACCUUUUGGCGGAGGUAGACGCUUUGCCCAUCUCGGUUAACACAUUUCGCCCAUCUGAGAAAAGAUUUCUUUAGUUGUGAUCGUGUCGAUUGCUAAGUGUUGUUACAUUAUCUAGCUGUGACGAUUAAUUACAAUGACAGCACCAAUAUCGUUUACAUGUCUGAAACCACCAUGUUUAUCACUGAGUGAAAAAGCACAAUGAGAUUAACAUUCACUUUUGUUGUCACAAUUGGGACAAGUUCGUGUUCACUCUGUCCCAUGAGUACAUUAAUUUAGAGUCCCCGGCCACUUGAUAUAUUGACCACAUAUGCCAAGCAUGUCGAUCGGUAGUCUUCUUCUUCUUGAUCCUAUAAUAGCACAAACCAUGCAUGUUAUAAUAGCACAAACCAUGCAUGUCGUCCCAAGGAACUGUAUAAUACAAGGUCACAUACACACUAGGUGGACGCAGUUUUUUUACCCUAAACAAGGUCACGUACACACAUCUCAAAGCAGUUUCGCAUUGAGAUGUGUGUUUGCACACUUCUCAAAGCGAAUACAAUGGGUAGAAGAGUGAGGGCCUAUGCCCUCGAGGGCAAAGAAAACUUUACCCACACUACCUACGUCCGUCCAACCCGAUCCCGAUCUAGUAGCUUAGGUUUAGAGGUGUGAUUUCUUGGCCCUAGCUAGCUAUCUGUCUACAACGGUGCGGUCUUCAUCUUGCCCAGCAGCGCCCGGGUGAUCUCGACGCACAGCCCGGCGUUCCUGACGGCGAAGUCGUCGUACUCGGGCGAGAACACCACCUGCUCGGCGUGGUGCACCAGCGUGUCCAUGGCGCGCUCCCUGAGCGCCGCGCUGGAGCUCAGGUCGGCGACCUCCAGCGUCCGCAGCACGUUGGAGGCGUCCACGGCGGCCGCCAGCCGCGCCUCGCAUGCCCGCCGCAGGAACGGCACGUCGUACUUGUCGGCCGCCACGAGGAGCGCGUGCAGCUGAUGAUCCCCGUCGUCGUCCUUGUUGUUCUCCAGCGCGCCGGUGUAGAGGAAGGCGAGGAAGAGGUCGAGCUCGCCGUGGGUCAGCUCCGGGAGGGAGAUGGCGUCGCCGGCGGGGGCCUUGCAGCGCUCGUCGGCGGCCAGCAUGUGGCGGAACACCUCCGACCUCGCGGCCUGCAUCAGCAUCAGAUCAGACGCUAAGUAACUGAUGAUGAUGGGCUGGCUGGGCUUCGUCUUCGUUUGAAAGGAACGCAUGCAGGGAAUGAAGGCCCACUUACCAGGAUGGCUUUGUGGGCCGGAAUUGGGGGCCCAGUGCCUGGUUUCACGACGAUGUCGGUGUGGACUCCCUCCUUCCACGCCAUCGCCAGGAAGGCGGCUCUCUGGUGGGCCUCCUCCUCCCUGCCUCUCAUCUCCUUCACCUGCUCCCACGCGUCUCUCAUCCCCUGCAUUUCAUUGCUUGCUUGGUUCAGAAAAACCAAACUCAAUUCUGUUUGACACUUUGAGCAGCACAAAUCAUACAAAUGUGAAAUGGCAGGGGUCAGAGAAACAGUUGAACGCUCCUACUGAAAAGCAAGGCACCAAAAUUGACAGUGAGCCAGGAUCAAGCAAAAUAUACACUCUGCACUGCAUUUUCUGAGAUUUUUUUUUUUGCUGCAAAGUAAAACCUUAGGGAGUUCAAAUAACACAACACAGAAGCGUAAAAGGCGGUUGCUGAAAGGCCUCAAACUAAUAGCUUUAUAAGGACCCGUUAACAUCCGGGGGGGCUCACUUUUUACAGAACCUUUCUAUUGAAGGAUGCAUGCAGCAAACGUUGUCCUGAGAUUGUGACAUCCAGCUGACUAGAAACCAAACAAAGACGGUACUACAUGCUAUGAAACCAUAUAUAUAUAUAUAUAUAUAUAACAAGGAUGUAAACAUGCAUGUGUUCAAUCAGAAAUAGCAAGGAUUUGUACCUUGGUUGGGCUGUUAGGCUUGACAGACCCUCUGGACUUGAGCACAGAGCCAUGGCUCAGGCUGCCCUCUUCUUCAUGCUGAUGCUCAUCAUCCUUGUUCAGAAAUCCGAUGAUGGCCUUGGCGCCCUCAUGGCAGGGAGCACAGAUGGCGUUCCUCGGAAGCCUGUACACGGCUGCCAUGGGGCUGCAGAUGCAGCAGUCCAUGAUUCCGCUGCCGCCGCCUCCUCGCCUUGCUCUCCUUCUUCCUCCCUCUGGCUCUGGUGGUGCUCUGCAAUGGUGCUAACAGGUAACAGCAAGCUUGUCGCCAUGGCCUUGCGUUGGGUCAGGGUUAUAAAAACGAAUGGCAGGUGCAGGAACCAGGAUGGUGUGCUGCCAUUUCUUUUUCUACAACUGGUACGCGGUGGUUGCUGACUGAGACAAUCAGGGGAAUUGAAAUUCUCCUGGUUUUCAUAAAUGUGCUCGCUUGAAUGUAGACGGUGUGUUUGUGGACACCUUUGUAUGCCAAACUAGUACUUUGACUAAACUGACCUCGCUCCUCCGGGUAUCUCUUCUCCUUUUUUUUUCAGUUCAGAUGGAAUGAUUAUGUAUGGAUCGACAAAAGAUUAUCACUAGUACAACAGCUAAUCAUCAUGCAAAAUGUUAUUGCAGUUGGGGACACACACACACACACACAAAGUACGAGCAGACAUUGCCUUUCUGGAUUAUUUCACUUUUAGUGCAAGCUUAGGUACAAUUGUCCAUUGUUGGCCAAGCUAAGCCAACUACUGUGUACCUAAAACAGGCUGUUCAUGGACAGGACUGUAGAAACGUAGAGGGUACGUUGUACCAAAGACAUUUUUUAAGACAUAAUUAGUGCAGAUGAUCAAAGUCUUAGUUGACCGCAGAGUAGUAGUAUUCACAGAUAAGACUGAAUACUUUCAGCCACUUUUUUGGCUCUGUAACUUUUUAGCUACUUCACUGUUGAAGUGGCAAUGUGAAAUCCAAAUUAUCAAAUGAAAAUGUUGUGGAAUAUAAAAACUUAGCUGCUGGAAGGACAGUACGGUCUUUUCCUCUCAUCAGGAUGCCUAUAAUCAAGUAGCAGGCACGCCAGAAUUAAGUUGAGAUAAAAUGAUUUGGGUAUAUGAUUGCAUGAUUAUAAAAUGAAUGAAGAGAAGGAUCAUCAUGGACCAGCAGUAGGUUGCUUGAGAGGGACUUUGCAACCUAAACAAAAGAGAGUUAGAGACUUGGACUUUUGUUGGGGAAAAGGGAAAAAUGAAAGGUGGAUGUUGGAGAGGCUUGGAGGGUGGCACGACUUAGCUAGCCUAAUUAACGCUUCCAUAACAAGGCUGUGUGUGUGUGUGUGUGUUAACCACUAUCCUCCCACUCACCCGACAUGUGGGCCCUCGCCCGGUCUCUUUCAAGUCAUGCCGCGCAUGCAUGGCAGAAGAAUAUAUGGAAUGGAACUGCUGCAACGUACUGGUGUCAUAUACUGUAGUAGGGAGAAAAGGGAUGAGAUUGUUUUUCUCCCAAAAGUAGUAUGAAAGGGGAUGAAAAAAGAUUGAGCAUGACUUUUAUUUUAUUUUUUUAAUAAAUAAAGAAGGAAAAGAAAAGAAAGCUAGCAUGCUUACUAAUAAUUAGUGUAAUAAUCAGUGUCCCAUCCCGCAGGGAAAACAUAAAGGGGUAAUAAUGAUCAUGCAAGUAAUGAAGAUGUAAAGGCGAUUGGAGUGAGGACAUCUGUUGAUGCACAUCUAAUAAUUCAAAUAAUGACGAUGUGGAUUUGUUGGGUUGGUUGGUUACUGCAUAAUAGUCGUUGCCGCAUAAGUUACAUGGCAUUAUGAUCUCUAUCUUUAUUAUUAUUCUCUAAUUCCCAACCUAAUAUUAAAGAGCUAGCAAAACAUUUUUUUCAAUCCACUUUUUCCGUUCUCAAUAUCUCCUCCAUUCCUCCCACCUUAUUUGCCCUCUUUGGAUACUUUAACUAAGUUAGAAGUUAGAGUUAUUCUCUAGCUCAUGACUAGCCCUCAACUAACUCUAGCCAAAGAGGUGUUUGGAUGCAAAGGUUAGAUUGACAAUAAAUGUACUUUCCCAAUCAUUUAGCUCCUUCCCAGCCGGAUUUUGUGUGGCUCUAGCUCGUGGUGGGCAAUAGGGAGGGAGGCCAGAGCUUCUCACGCUGCCAGGAAGGAGCUUGUCGCCGUCGCCCUGGAGGACGGCUCCGUAGAGCCCAAGCCCUGGGAACCCCUCUACCGCUGGUGGUUGCAAGUUAAUUAAGGAUGUGAUCCGCGAGUUUAGGACCACUCAGCGACGGCUGCGAGCCCCACGCAAGUAAGCCAUCUCCGUCCAUCGAUGGAAGCUAGGCAGCAGCGCGGCUUGGAGACGGCGGCAAGGCGGGCUUAUGGCGGCAGUGCUGGUUCCCGGGAGGUGGCGGUGCAGCUGCAGGUUUACGUCACGCGUGGGGAAGAGUAACCGAUCGCGCGAAGGGAGGCGAUCUCGUGCGGCAAAACAAUGCUUUCCUAUGGGCCCCACCUCAAAUAGCUCCAAAUAGCCCAAAUAAGCAUCUCUUUAGGGAGAUAGUUUUUGGGGUUGGGUUAGAUACAAAUAACCCUAAUCUAACCGUCAUGUUUGGAUACUUUAAGGCUAUUUGAGCCCCAAAUAGCUAAAUCUAACUCUAACCCAUGGAUGCAAACAGGGCCAUUAUUUCCCAAAUUGCUCCUUACGCCCUCUGUGUCCCGGCCCGGAUAUAUGUGACCUAGAUUUUAUAUAUGAUCCAUGCUCAACGAGUUGCAACACAAUCGUGUCCAGUGAUGAUAUAUGGAGAUGAUCUAUCCCAAACUGCCUCACUCUCUUUAAUUUGUAUCCCAUAUCUGACCUAAAUUUAUAACAUGUGCUCGUACGAGUUAGCACAUAUAACAACUCACAUCCAGCGCGACGAUACUGAUUCCGAUUUCAAGACUUUUUGAGCGUUCCAUGAAAUGCACAUGUAUGUUUAAUUCGAUAGUUAGCUACAAACAUGUGUAACUUAAUUAGUGCCAGUAUUGUUUUUUUCCUUGAAUGACAGGGAUAUAUGAUUGUUUGCAUGCAUCAUGCAUCAUGCAUGGGCGCAUCUCAACGCGGAUGGCUCCCUUUGACCUACUAUAUACGUAUAGUACGUUGCUCCUAUCCUUACGGCUGUAUGUACAUGCAUGUUUUUUUUUCCCAAAAAAGAAGGGCUGCACGCAUAUGCACAACAUUAGUAUUUGUCGCAGUAGUAAGGCCUUGUUUAGUUCAUUCCAAAAUCCAAAAAAAAAUUAAGAUUCUCUGUCACAUCGAAUCUUGUGGCACAUGCAUAAAGUAUUAAAUAUAGACGAAAAUAGUAAAAACUAAUUACACAAUUUGUCUAUAAAUCGCGAGACGAAUCUUUUGACCCUAGUUAGUCUAUGAUUGGACAAUAUUUACCACAAACAAACGAAAGUGCUACAGUAACGAAAUCCAAAAAAUUUUCACAUCUAAACAAGGCCUAAAUGGAAUACGAGUGCAUGAUUGAUUUGUGGUAAACCGUUGGCGUGGAAUCACGUCAUGGCCCAUCAUUAAUCAUUUGACUUAGCCAAUCAAAUCAGCAGCAGGGUGGAGGGAAGUAGUGACCCACCCACAGCAGGCCCACAGUUACAUGGGCUUCUUUCUAUGUUUAUGGACCAACAUGAAACGGAGUCUGGUACUUGAGCACUGGGCCACAUUCACGGCCCUGGGCCUUCAUCCAAAUCUUAUUCGUAUUCCGUAGUACGUGUGGAGACUGGAGAGUGGAAAAAUUCUAAAAAAAGAAAAGAAAAAGAAUACAAGGAAGUGGAAAAGUACGCCUCAAGCUCUUGCAAUAACUAAUUACUCCCUUUGUUUUUUCUAAGAAUUAAUUUAUAGAAUUCAUGUCAGUCAAUUUUUUUAAUUUAAUUAGUUUUAUAGAAAAAAUAAAUAUAUAACAUAAAAUAAAUAUCUUAUAAAAAUUAUAUUCUACUAAUGAUACUAAUUUGGUACUAUAAAUCUUAGUAUUUUUUUAGAAAUUUAGUUAAAGUUUGAAAAGUUUGAUUUUAAACAACUCUAUGAUAGAUUUAAUGAUACUAAUUUGGUACUCAACAAAAGACAGUAGUCACACACCACACAAGAACAAGAGUCAGAGACAGCCGCAUCACAUUUACCAUAUUGCUUUUUUGUUGUUGUUGUUGUUUGCGAGAUCAAAAACAAAACAAAACAUAAAUAAUUGUCGUCAACAUCGUGACCAUUCAAUCAAUAAUAAGAUGGAAUGGUACAAGUAUUACAAGCUAGGUGAUACUGUUACACAGAAGAAAUGGAAGGCAACAAAUUGAACAGAAGUCUCUGAUGGAAAUACAAGCUGGUGAGCGCUGGAUGGAUCGUCGUCGUCUCCGGUAGCAAUAGCAAACCAACUAGAGGAAACCAUGGGCGCGCGGGCUCCGGCCGGUAGCAACUCCGAUGGAUGCCGCGCGCCGUCCGGAUAGACAUGGACUCAUUCAUUCAUUGAUGUGGAUGGAUGGAUGGAUGGAUGGAUAAUGUAAACCACGGGCGGGGAUUAGGAUUAGGAUUAGGAUUAGGACGAAGCCACGUCACGCAUGAUUGCUAACCAGGCCACCCACCAAUUAUUGCUACUAAUUUAUUGUUGUUUGUUCCUCUUUCUUGUCGCUCCUCCUCCUUGCUAGCUACCAGCUCCAGCGCUCGUUCUCGUUGCCGUCGGCGUCGGUGGCCGGCGGCAGCUGGGAGUAGAAGCCGUAGUCCAGCUCCUCCUGCCGCUGCUUCCCGGCGCUGCUGCCGGAGUAGUGGUGCGCGAGCGCGGCUCCGCCGAGGACGGCGAGUGUGAGCGCCUGGGCGUGCAUCCUGGCGUGGAUGAGGCGCAGGCUCGUGGCACGCGCCGGCGCCCGACGCCGGCUGUACGCCACCGACGCGCCCACCGCCGUCGCCCACACGGCUCCUGCAAGGCACAAGCACAACAGCAUGUAUGUAUCUGUGACUGUGAAUGAAUGAAUGAUGAAUCAAAGCUGCUAUAGAUUUGAUUUGACUGCACGAUCUGAUCUCAGAGGGGAUCGGGGAAAAAAAGAAAAUAAAAAACAGAGCAGUAAUAAUUCUGAAGUGGACGAGCACGACCAGUAGUGAGUGAUGAUGACUCACCGAUGGUUGAGAGCUUGUGUUCCUCCACCCACGACUGCAGGGACGAGCUAAUCCUCUCCAUCGAUCUGCCUCGAGACCUAGCCUCGAUCUUCGAUUCGAUUCGAUUCGAGUCGAUCGAUCGACAAUAAUAAUCUCUCUUUCAAACGGUCUGUGUGUUUGGAUUUGCAGCGAUGGAUGGAUUGCUGUUGCUGGGAGGCACAGCCAGGUGACCUACUUAUAUAUAUAGGAAGCUGACGAGAGUGGGGUGGCGUGCGAGUGUUGAAGCACCCUGCCUGCAGAAAGGAAAGGGGUGGGGGCAAACGGGGGGCUGAGGGAGACGACGACGACGAAACCAGAGGCUCCCCCGCCUUCUGUUUUUUCUGCCUCUCCUCCCCCUGGUUUUCCUACACUAGACUAGAGGAGCUUCUUGUGGGCACGGAAUGAAUCGGUUGGCACGUUGUAUGGUAUGGUACCCAACCCAAGGUUUUUCAUUCAUUCAGUCAGUCAGUCAGUCAGUUCAGGCACGGGUCCACCUUAUCUCCUUCCUGCCGCCUGCCUGCCAUUCUUGUUUCCGAGUACGAGUCGCAGACAAGUGGGCCGUCAGCGCUAUGCUGGACCCUAUUGUGUCAGUGACACGGACGUAGCAAUGACGUACUUCGACUUGUCUAAAAUUUACAAGAUUUUUAAUCUUUAAACAGAGCAUUAAAUAUAUAUAUAUAUAUAUAUAUAUUAGACACAUGCAGGUAGCAAUGACGUACUCCAACUUAUUAUCAUUGAGGAAAUAUGAAAACCAAUUUAAAAAUUAUAUAUAUAUAUAUAUAUCAUUUAUUUUAAACAAAUUGAAACUUACCACGUUAUAUAUAAAAAAGGUUAAUACAAACUCACAACUUGGAAAAAUAAGGCUCACAUAAUUAUAUGUUUCACCGGGAGGCAAGAUAUUUUCUUGUUCUGCGUAUUUUUAACUUGUGAGAGACAUACAAGUGGCACGGACGUGACAACGUGACAAUGACGUAGCAUGCCCUUAUUCUCUGCCAAGUUCCCAAUUUUUUUUAAAAAAAAAACAAAAUUUUUAUCGCAUCAAAUCUUUAAAUAUGUACAUAAAAUAUUAAAUAAAAAUAAAAAUUAAAAACACGUAUAUAUCCUUUUUUUAGGAAAAAAAAUUAGGUGUGGAUGGUCCUUACUCGGCACCAUGUGGACCUCCAGUUAAAUUAUGACGCGUGGACUUGUUAAUCGACCGGCUCAGGCUCACUCGCACUCACAAGUCACAAGCUCAUAGUAAUAAUUAAACGGGCUUGUUAAUUCACGGCGGCGUAGAUGGGAUUUGCACUAUGUAAAUAAAGGAAAUCACAGACGCGUGUUUUCAUGCAUCACAGACGCGUUAGCACGCGUCUCAAGUAACGCGUCUGUGAAGAGUGCUAUUACAGACGCUCAUAGCGCGUCUGUAAUAGCGCUCUUCACAGACGCGCCAUGUAAACAAGUGUCUUUACUAAGACGAAUACGCGUCUGUGAAUAAAAGAACACGCGUCUGUGAUACGAGGGACAAGCGUCUGUGGUUUUGUUGUACUGCAGAAGCAGAUAUAUAUGAUAGCCUAUGCUGUUUCUACAUGGCAGAAAUUACCCAGUUCUUAUAAUAACGCACUGAACACCGACCACAGAUAAAACACAACGUAAACAUGUUCACUUAGUAUUCACGUAACGUUACAGAGGAUCCACACAAAAUGCUAGUUCAAAUUAAAUUAAUUGACCAGCGCACUAUAGCUAGGCCAACACACUUGUUGGCCGCGAUCUUAAAGUGCUCAACUACAAAGUGCCAACACAUCAUGAGUGUUAUUUAUCUCCAUCUAAGCUUCAUCGCCUUUUUUUUGUAAGAUCACACUACAAUGAAACUCGCCAUUUUCAUCAAUGAUCUGUUCCACAAUGAACAGGGCGAUCCUCUCCCUAAUAUCAUUCAGGUUGAUUGGAGUGGACGUAAAAUCAAAGUCCUGAAAAACAGCGGAUCAUAAGGAAGCAGCUCAAGGACCAUGCUUACUAUUAAAAUAUAGAUAUGUCAAACAUUUCACAUGUCAAACAUAUAUAUCCAUAUAAAUUGAAUAUAUAUGCCAUGCAUGCAAAUUCAAAAAGGUAUAAGAGUUUAUAUUAACCGACAAUCAUAAUUGAAAUGAUUCAGAGUGAAUGUUAUAAUUAAUCCAAAAAACAGAGGUAUUAAUUCUAGUAUCCUAAUUUCCCUUUCAAACCAAAACUUAUGUCUUUCUUGUUCUUUCAACGAUCGAUGCUAGCUUUCAAUCAAUGUUGGUUUAUAAACAACUAAAAUCCUGAUUUUCACAACAUGUGUAAUAUAUUACUUUGAACUGAUGUAUGGAUACUCGACUCAUGAUAAAAACCAUUUUGCUAUAUUGUUUCUAUGACUAUUUAUUUCUGAUAUUUCCAGUUCUUAUGCCAAAAAGCACAUCAAUCUGCUGCUAUAGACUACUAUAUAUAUAUAUAUAUAUAUAUAUAUAUAUAUAUGUGUGUGUGUGUCUGUGUGUGUGUGUGUGUGUGUGCUUGCCAUACAAUAUAAGGUCAGUUGAUUAUCUUGUUUAUCCCAUCCUGUCAAUCUAUCUGAAUAUACAAAUUUCUUCCUCCAUCCUGUCUAUAUAUAUAGUUAAGAAUCCUUUCAAGAUAAAGAUCAAAAAGCUUGGCAAACUCCUUGUAGUUGCAUCACAGUUCAAGGUUAGAACUCUCAGGAGAAUGGUGAGAGGAUGGGAUGAGGUAGCUACCCUAAAUAGAAAUAAAGCCUCUCUUAAUGACAAGUUUAGAGGAUAUUAUAUAUGGAGACUAGAAGUCUGGAACCAAUAGAGAUGAUAGAAUAUAGAGAUAUAUAUAGAAGAAUAGUUAUCACAUAUCUAGGCCAUAGAGGAAAUUAAAGCUAGACAGAGAUCUAGAAUAUAGAUCCCUACUACAGGGUGACAGAAACAGCUUACUUUCAGGCUAUAGCAAAUUAUAGACGUAGGAGAAAAAAUGAUAAAUGUUUACAAGGUCCGAAUGGUUUAUUUUAUGAUCAAAAAGGAAUGAUGCAAAUAGCUGUAGAUUUUUAUAAAAUGUUGUUUGCUAAGGAAAACAAUUCCUUUGUUAAGCUAGAUGAGAAUUUUUAGGGGAGCCCCAAGAUAUGGUUCCUUCUGAGGAGAAUGAGAGUUUGUUAGCUCCUUUUCUGGAAGCAGAAAUAAAGAAGCAUUAUGCUGAAGGGGCUGAUCAGGUCCUGAUGGACUCCCUUUCCUUUUUUACCAAAAGUUUUGGAAUUUAGUUAAACGAUCUAGUACAUUUGUUUGAUGAUUUCCAAAAAGGUAAACUUGACUUGUUUAUAUUAAAUUGUGCUCUUCUCACCUUGAUCCCAAAAGUAGGAGAUGCUUCAAAUAUGAAGCAAUUUAUACCUAUUAGAUUGCUCAAUUGAAGCUUUAUGAUUUUUUCCAAGAUUCUUACUAGUAGAUUCAGUACCAUUGUGCAGAGAAUUAUAGCUCCAAACCAAUCCGCGUUCAUUAAAGGUCGGUAUAUUUUAAAAAGUGUGGUGAUAGCUCAUGAAAUUGUUCAGAGCAUUCAUACAAUGGGAGAAAAAAGGGGUCAUUCUCAACUUAGAUUAUGAAAAAGCGUAUGACCAAGGUAGCUGGACU
rnacentral:lncRNA from 1 species